UUUUUUUUUUUUUUGUUAUUGUUGUGGCGGCCCUAUAAUGCUUGGAUUCUGUUCUGAUGGCCCUAAAUUUAUUUUACAUAUUUCUAGAUGCUCUUGUAUUUAUGUUCAAUGGGUAGAACUUAAUUUGUAAGAAUAAUUUUGCUUAUUUGAUAGUUUAAGUGAUUUGCUUAAUGGGUAUGCUUGGAAUUAGUGAAUUUAAUUACUUGGAUUCUAGCACUUAUUUUUUUAUUUUCUUUCUUUCAUUUUUUUAUUAUGCUUUUCUUUGCGAAAAUUGCUUUUAUAAGCUCUAAGUUUUGGUUCCUAAACGCCCUUUUUUUUCUUUGGAAUUCAAGGUGAAUUGAUCAUCGUAAGUUUGAGACACUUAAAUUUAAUUACUGAUGAAGCCACUCACACUUGAAUAUGCUGAAACUAAUUUGCUGAUAUAUGAAUUUGAUUAAGCUGAUAUAUGAACAUUAGUAAACUAAUUUGCUCAAUUAAAAGUGAAUUGGUAAUCGUAAGUUUAACUUUACCCUUAGAAAAACACAUUAAUUAAAUAAUUAUUCACAUAGAACAAUGUGAAAGAUCUUGAAUCCACAUGUUUAGCCUUUGCUAGUUAUUGCAUAUGCUAUUCAAUGACAAAAUUGGCCCACCAUGUGGUAAUUGAUUUCAAGAAUAAAAGCUUUUUACAAUUUUCUAUUUGAAAAUGGAAGUUGACUGGAAACUAGAUUGAAAGUUGGAUACUUAAUCAAAAAAAGGUAAUACAAUGUAUGAUGAUCAGAAUAGUUUCUCUUUCAUAUUUUUAUUUUGGAGAAUAUUUGCAGAUUUUGCUAUCUGAGGGAUUGUAUGAUGCUUGGAAUCUUCUUCCAAAAACUUAAUGCUCUUAUUGCCACUGUUGUUGUUAUUCCUUAUAUUUGGUAAAAACGUUUUGCUGAAUUGGCUUAAAGUUACAUGAUUUUUUUUCAAUUAAUUUUACAUGGAUGAGAACUCAAGUUGUCAUGGUACUUAUUCUUUGGGCACUUUGGCAACUACUCAGAGUAAGAGGAAAAAGCCAUCUGAUGGUUGUCGAAGCCAGCAAAAAUAAAUACCUACUCUAAAUAAAUUGUGUAUAGUGAUUGAGCAGGGUUGUGUCCACAGAGAUCGGUAAUUAUUUAAAUCUCUUUAAAAUGUAAAAUGCAAAAUGGGGGGGGAUUGUUGACAAUAAUAAAAGUCAAAUUAAAAUAACAAGAAUGCAAAUUCAAAAUUGUAAUUCAAAUUGGGGAAAGCUCUGGUUGAAGGAAUUAACUUAGCUUGAUUCGACUACUGAUCAUUGAUUCAAUUAUAAAUAAUUACUACUUAUGAAUAGACCGGUUAUAGCUACUGAGACACUCUAAUAGUCAAUUUCUCCUUAACUAGUCGAUAAUCAAAGUACGACCAUUGGUUAUUUCCCUAAUCAAUAGAUAACCCUAGAUACGAUCAUAGGAUUUAAUCAAUUGACAGCCUAAAAAACCAGAGAGACCCAAAUCCUAAUCAACAAACGCAUACGAUGGUUCAUUUAAAUUAGAUUGUUUAUUCUCAUAACACAACGCACUGUUAUACCAUUUGUCACAAACAUUAAAAUCUUCAUACGAUGAAUCCUUUAAUUGACAAUAGAUUAAGUUUAUAAUUAAAUAGUGGCCAAUUAUCUAAUUAACAAACAUAAUCAUGAUAAUAAUUUAGAGAAUAAACAAAUACCCAAAAAGCAAUAAAACAAUUAAAGCAUUAGAAAGAUCUCACAGUAAUGAUGAAUCAAAGCUUCAUUAACCUUCAACCAAAAUAAUAGGUUUAGUUCUUUAUAGAGAGAAGAGAAAAAUUUAGAUCUAGGGUUUCUUUUUCUUUCUUUGACAAUAGAUUCCUCCCUUCAAUUCUCUUUUUUCUCUUCUCCUCUAGAGUUCUUUUUAAAAUAAAAUACUAAUAUCUAAAAUAUUAUCUAAAUAUUAAAUUCGUAAUUACAAAAAUAACCAAAAAUACAAAACACGUUAAAAUAAAAACUGCAAGUCCUUAGUUAACAGCACGCGCUCACGCCUUAUCAACAAAGUUCUUCUUAAGCUCAUAAUUUCUCCAUCAAAACACUUAUUUCUACUCAAGUCGCCAAGAAUGUAAACACUUUUUUUUCAUAUUUUUUUCCUUUUUUUUCUUUCAUUUUUUUAUUUUUUUUCAAUGAUGAAUCAAACAAAAGAAAUGAACCUUGCACAAUUUAAUUCAAGCAUAAUGCUUGUCGAUCUAAUUGAGAAACUUUAAUACAAGGUAGCAAAAGCAACAAAAUAUAUACAAAAUAUAUCUCAACAAUGAGUCGAAAAAUCUCCUUAAAUUGAGGCUCAAAAAGAAGGAAAAUAGGUAAGUAGACGGAGAGAAUUAGAUGGGUAAUGGUUAAGGCUCAAACAAAGAUAACAAAUAAAGGUCUUCGGGUGGAGAAAAAAAAGAAAAAUGCGAAAAUAGAAAAAUGAAAAGUGGUUUGCCCUUAUCAUUUUAAUGCAUAAAAUCCCGUAAUGCGGUUUCGACAUGCAUAACAAAGCAAGUUCUAUAAUAAACAAACUAAGAUUGAUAUUCACAUAACAAAAAUAAUUAGAGCAAAGUGGUUGCUCAUAGGCUCAAAUCCUCACAAAGUUAGUAAAUUUGCCAUCAAAUCAUGUACACUCUUCAAAUGAAUAAACCAUCAACAGUGGUGUAGAAUGAGAAGAAGGUAUGAUUGAUAUAUAAAAGGAAAGGUAAAAAGGAUAAGAAGUGAGAAAGAUGUAUAUAAUAAUAUAAAAAGUGAAAGAUAAAAUGUGAGUGAUGAAAAAGUAUGAUAAAAUAAAAAUAGAUGUAAAUAAUUUGAGAUAGAAGAGAAAAGAGUAGUGAGAAAGAAAAGAAAAGAAGAAAAAAAUAAUAUAUGAAGCAUACUAACUCCAAAAUCAUUUAAGGAUUAGCAGAGUGAAAAUAAUAUUUCCUGACAUCAAUAUUACAAAAAUCCCUCUCCCACACCAAGAACUUACAUUGUCCCCAAUGUAAGAUAAUCAAAGCUCACAUAAAGAAAUAAAGCGUAAAGAUAAAAGAUUAAAGGCAAAACUUUCCUGAAUUGUGAGCUUUGAUCCAUAUAACGUCUAUGGGCUUGGCGGAAAUGGUGGGAUAAAUCCCACACUCACGAAGUACGCGGCCAAAUUCUGCUCCAUCUUGUUAAGCUUGUGCUUCAUUUUCUCUAACUGAAUGCUCAAAGGUGGUGCAGAUUUAGAAGGAAUAGUUGGUGGGGCAGCAGUUUCAUUGUUAAACUCGUCAUCAGAGGUAGCACCACUCCUAGCAUAAAACUUCUUUGGAAGUUGAGUGGGUCCUGGUUCAGUAAACUGAAAUCUCCCCUCCUUGAAUUCGACCACACCUGUUCUUUCAAACACAGACAUAUCCAAAAAAAAAAUUUUGCAAGCAGGAUGCAAAUCAUUAUUGUCAGGAUCAAGCACACAUAGGUUUAUAGCUAACAGAGUAAUGUAUGGACCAAGAAAUAAAGUCCUAUACCGUUUAAGCACACUCUGAAAUUGAUCUGCUAACCAAAAACCUAGAUUAGGCCUCACAUCAUUUAACAUGCACCAUAUAAAAUAAAACUCAGUUUUAGAGAAAACUCCUGAGUGAUCUUUCUUUCCUAAAAAAUUAUAUGCUAAGAAUCGAUACACACAUUUCAAAACAGGAUCACGUAAGAAAGAGCUCUUUGAUUUACUCAGGUCAUAGGCAUUGUGAUCAGAAGAUAAAUUACGCCAAAGACCAUAAGGCUCAAAAUUUUCGUUAAAGUCACAAGUUGUCCCUAAAUAUGCAUCACUAGAAGAAUAAUCAUCAUCAAUGAAUCCUAAAGCUAGGUUAAAAUCUGUGAUAGAUUGUGAAAAAUUUCGUCCCAUUAACCUAAACUUUAUAACAUUCGGAGUAUGCAAAGUAAAAUCAUUCGGUAUAUUAAAUUGAAAAGUAGCAUAGAACUCCCUAAUCAACUCAACAUAACCCAAACAAUCAACAUCAACAAACUUACGCAAACCAAUCUUAUCUAUCAAAGAAUUAAAAUUAUCCUUAACAUUUAAUUUUUUAAGAGUUGGGUAAUGAAUAUACUUAGCUGGAAGUAUUUUUCGCUUAGAAAUAUCUUUGUACCUUUCUUUCUCUUAUUGAGUCAUGAAUCUGAGGCACCCUCCGAGAUUGGAUUCAGUAAGUGGCAAAACAUUCAUGCCUUUUCCAUGUUUCGAUCUUUGUCUCACAGCUUGGCGUGAAUCUGAAAUUGUGUUCCAUGGGACCGUAGUGGGAGCGGCAAUCUUGGAUUUCUUUGCGACGGGUUUCUUUUUAGACGUUGAUGACUUAGAAGUUGAUGAUUUCCUCUUCGGCGUUGUUACAGUAAUUUCACUCAUGGGUUUUAUUGAAUACGAAAAGUGGCGGUUGUACGAAUUGCUGGACUGGUGCUUGCUGGGCUGGUGCAGCGAGAUGCUGGUUGCUGGUGCUUGGUGGGCUGGUGACGCACGAUGCUAGUGCAGACGCGAGAUGCUUGUGCGCGCAGCUAGUGCAGACGCGAAAUGCUUGCGCGGCUGGGAUGCUGGGCUAGGAUGGUGGACUGCUGCUGGGGACGCGGGAUGCUGGUGCAGCACUGGUUGCACACGGAUGCUGGACGGGUGCAGCGCGGGCUAGUUGCGAGAUGGAGCUGUUGUUGCACUGGUUGCGCAUGGAUGCUGGGCGGGUGCAGCGCACUGGUCUGGUUACACGGGUGGACUGGAGACAUACCUAUGAGAGUUUUGUACGUGGUGCGAUAUGCCCACAAUGCAUCAUCUAAUCGCAAACUCCAAUCGUUUCGAUUUGGACUAACCGUCUUUUCAAUAAUAUACUUGAUUUCUCUGUUUGAUAUCUCAGUUUGUCCACUUGUCUGUAGAUGAUAGGCGGUAGACACUCAGUGGGUAACAUGAUAUCUCUUGAACAAAGCCUCCACCACUUCAUUACAUAAAUGAGUGCCUCUAUCACUUAUCACCGCUCUCAGUACACCAAACUUGGCAAAAAUAUUAGACUUGACAAAAUCUACAACAACUUUAGCAUUGUCAGUCCAGGUGGCCUUAGCCUCUACCCACUUAGAAACAUAAUCCACUGCUAAAAGAAUGUAAGCAUUGCCAAAAGAUGAGGGAAAAGGUCCCAUAAAAUCAAUGCCUCACACAUUGAAUAUUUCACACACAAGAAUAGGGUAAGUGGCAUUUGAUUCCUAUGACUUAAAUUAUCAGUCUUUUGACAAUUCUCACACGACUUACAAAACAAGUAUGAAUCACGAAAUAAAGUAGGCCAAAAUAGACCACAUUCUAACACCUUAGAUGCUGUCCUUUUGGGACCAAAAUGGCCACCACAUGCAUAUGAGUGUCAAAACUGAAGAAUAGAAGGAAUUUCAAACUCAGAUAGGCACCUUCUGAUGACUUGGUCAGAGCAAUGUUUCCACAAGUAAAGGUCAUCCCAAACAUAGUACUUAGCAUCGCUCUUAAUCUUAUCUUUUUGAACCCUCGUCAGAUCACUAGGUAGUGUUCUUAUAAUUAAGUAAUUGAUAAUGUCAGUGUACUAAGGAACCCUACCUUAAGUUACAAAGAGAUGCUCAUCUGGAAAAUCAUCCUUCAAAGGUGUUGCUUCUUCACUUGUGGUCAAUCUACUAAGGUGGUCUGCAACCAAGUUUUCUGCUCCUUUCAUGUCACGGAUCUCUAAGUUGAACUCUUGAAGUAGUAGGAUCCAGCGGAUGAGUCUCAGUUUCGCUUCCUUCUUGGCGAGCAAAUAACUGAGAGCUGCAUGGUUAGAAAAAAUAAUAACUUUAGUACCCAAUAAAUAUGAACGAAAUUUUUCUAUAGCAAAAACAAUAGCCAAAAGUUAUUUUUCCGUUGUUGAGUAAUUGCACUGAGCACUAUCAAGUAUCCUUAAUGCGUAAUAUAUCACGUGAGCAGCUCUUGCAAUCCUUUGUCUAAGAACAGCACUAACAGCAUAGUUACUGGCAUCGCACAUUAUCUCAAAAGGGAGGCUCCAGUCGGGUGGUUGUAUAAUUGGAGCUGAACUCAAUAACUCCUUAAGCUUAUCAAAUGCUACCUUGCAUGCUUCAUUAAAAUCAAACGUCACAUCUUUCUAAAGCAGCUUGUAUAAAGGCUGAGCUAUCUUCAAAAAGUCCUUGAUAAAACAUUGAUAGAAACCUGCGUGACGAAGGAAAGAACAAACUUCCCGCACACAUGUGGGAUAAGGUAAAGAUUUAUUAAUAUUUAUCUUAACUUUAUCUACCUCAAUUCCUCUAGCAGAGACUACAUGGCCCAAAAUAAUGCCUUGAUCAACCAUAAAAUGACAUUUUUCAUAAUUCAAGACAAGGUUUGUUUUAAUGCAUCUUUCAAGCACUUUCUUCAUAUUAUAGAGACAAUCAUCAAAAGAAUCAGCAUAGACUGUAAAAUCGUCCAUAAAUACCUCUAUAUACAGCAGAAACUAAAUUGCGAUAUGCAUGCUGCAGCAGAGUGAAAUCUCCCCUCCUUGAAUUCGACCACACCUGUUCUUUCAAACAUAGACAUAUCCAAAAAUUCCUUUUUGCAAGCAGGAUGCAAAUCAUUAUUGUCAGGAUCAAGCACACAUAGGUUUAUAGCUAACAGAGUAAUGUAUGGACCAAGAAAUAAAGUCCUAUACCGUUUAAGCACACUCUGAAAUUGAUCUGCUAACCAAAAACCUAGAUUAGGCCUCACAUCAUUUAACAUGCACCAUAUAAAAUAAAACUCAGUUUUAGAGAAAACUCCUGAGUGAUCUUUCUUUCCUAAAAAAUUAUAUGCUAAGAAUCGAUACACACAUUUCAAAACAGGAUCACGUAAGAAAGAGCUCUUUGAUUUACUCAGGUCAUAGGCAUUGUGAUCAGAAGAUAAAUUACGCCAAAGACCAUAAGGCUCAAAAUUUUCGUUAAAGUCACAAGUUGUCCCUAAAUAUGCAUCACUAGAAGAAUAAUCAUCAUCAAUGAAUCCUAAAGCUAGGUUAAAAUCUGUGAUAGAUUGUGAAAAAUUUCGUCCCAUUAACCUAAACUUUAUAACAUUCGGAGUAUGCAAAGUAAAAUCAUUCGGUAUAUUAAAUUGAAAAGUAGCAUAGAACUCCCUAAUCAACUCAACAUAACCCAAACAAUCAACAUCAACAAACUUACGCAAACCAAUCUUAUCUAUCAAAGAAUUAAAAUUAUCCUUAACAUUUAAUUUUUUAAGAGUUGGGUAAUGAAUAUACUUAGCUGGAAGUAUUUUUCGCUUAGAAAUAUCUUUGUACCUUUCUUUCUCUUAUUGAGUCAUGAAUCUGAGGCACCCUCCGAGAUUGGAUUCAGUAAGUGGCAAAACAUUCAUGCCUUUUCCAUGUUUCGAUCUUUGUCUCACAGCUUGGCGUGAAUCUGAAAUUGUGUUCCAUGGGACCGUAGUGGGAGCGGCAAUCUUGGAUUUCUUUGCGACGGGUUUCUUUUUAGACGUUGAUGACUUAGAAGUUGAUGAUUUCCUCUUCGGCGUUGUUACAGUAAUUUCACUCAUGGGUUUUAUUGAAUACGAAAAGUGGCGGUUGUACGAAUUGCUGGACUGGUGCUUGCUGGGCUGGUGCAGCGAGAUGCUGGUUGCUGGUGCUUGGUGGGCUGGUGACGCACGAUGCUAGUGCAGACGCGAGAUGCUUGUGCGCGCAGCUAGUGCAGACGCGAAAUGCUUGCGCGGCUGGGAUGCUGGGCUAGGAUGGUGGACUGCUGCUGGGGACGCGGGAUGCUGGUGCAGCACUGGUUGCACACGGAUGCUGGACGGGUGCAGCGCGGGCUAGUUGCGAGAUGGAGCUGUUGUUGCACUGGUUGCGCAUGGAUGCUGGGCGGGUGCAGCGCACUGGUCUGGUUACACGGGUGGACUGGAGACAUACCUAUGAGAGUUUUGUACGUGGUGCGAUAUGCCCACAAUGCAUCAUCUAAUCGCAAACUCCAAUCGUUUCGAUUUGGACUAACCGUCUUUUCAAUAAUAUACUUGAUUUCUCUGUUUGAUAUCUCAGUUUGUCCACUUGUCUGUAGAUGAUAGGCGGUAGACACUCAGUGGGUAACAUGAUAUCUCUUGAACAAAGCCUCCACCACUUCAUUACAUAAAUGAGUGCCUCUAUCACUUAUCACCGCUCUCAGUACACCAAACUUGGCAAAAAUAUUAGACUUGACAAAAUCUACAACAACUUUAGCAUUGUCAGUCCAGGUGGCCUUAGCCUCUACCCACUUAGAAACAUAAUCCACUGCUAAAAGAAUGUAAGCAUUGCCAAAAGAUGAGGGAAAAGGUCCCAUAAAAUCAAUGCCUCACACAUUGAAUAUUUCACACACAAGAAUAGGGUAAGUGGCAUUUGAUUCCUAUGACUUAAAUUAUCAGUCUUUUGACAAUUCUCACACGACUUACAAAACAAGUAUGAAUCACGAAAUAAAGUAGGCCAAAAUAGACCACAUUCUAACACCUUAGAUGCUGUCCUUUUGGGACCAAAAUGGCCACCACAUGCAUAUGAGUGUCAAAACUGAAGAAUAGAAGGAAUUUCAAACUCAGAUAGGCACCUUCUGAUGACUUGGUCAGAGCAAUGUUUCCACAAGUAAAGGUCAUCCCAAACAUAGUACUUAGCAUCGCUCUUAAUCUUAUCUUUUUGAACCCUCGUCAGAUCACUAGGUAGUGUUCUUAUAAUUAAGUAAUUGAUAAUGUCAGUGUACUAAGGAACCCUACCUUAAGUUACAAAGAGAUGCUCAUCUGGAAAAUCAUCCUUCAAAGGUGUUGCUUCUUCACUUGUGGUCAAUCUACUAAGGUGGUCUGCAACCAAGUUUUCUGCUCCUUUCAUGUCACGGAUCUCUAAGUUGAACUCUUGAAGUAGUAGGAUCCAGCGGAUGAGUCUCAGUUUCGCUUCCUUCUUGGCGAGCAAAUAACUGAGAGCUGCAUGGUUAGAAAAAAUAAUAACUUUAGUACCCAAUAAAUAUGAACGAAAUUUUUCUAUAGCAAAAACAAUAGCCAAAAGUUAUUUUUCCGUUGUUGAGUAAUUGCACUGAGCACUAUCAAGUAUCCUUAAUGCGUAAUAUAUCACGUGAGCAGCUCUUGCAAUCCUUUGUCUAAGAACAGCACUAACAGCAUAGUUACUGGCAUCGCACAUUAUCUCAAAAGGGAGGCUCCAGUCGGGUGGUUGUAUAAUUGGAGCUGAACUCAAUAACUCCUUAAGCUUAUCAAAUGCUACCUUGCAUGCUUCAUUAAAAUCAAACGUCACAUCUUUCUAAAGCAGCUUGUAUAAAGGCUGAGCUAUCUUCAAAAAGUCCUUGAUAAAACAUUGAUAGAAACCUGCGUGACGAAGGAAAGAACAAACUUCCCGCACACAUGUGGGAUAAGGUAAAGAUUUAUUAAUAUUUAUCUUAACUUUAUCUACCUCAAUUCCUCUAGCAGAGACUACAUGGCCCAAAAUAAUGCCUUGAUCAAGUCUUCUCCUGAUCCUCAGGCCCAACUGGUAUCUGAUGAAAACCUGAAUAGCCAUCAAGACAACAAAAGUGAGAUUUUCCUGCCAACCUUUCAAGCAUCUGAUCAAUAAAAGGAAUAGGAAAAUGAUCAUUCCUAGUGAGUGAAUUAAGCUUUCUAAAAUCAAUACAAACCCUCCACCCAUUCUGAACUCGGGUGAGUACUAACUCACCAUAAAAAUUCUCAACAAUUAUUAUACUAGUUUUCUUCGGUACCACUUGUACCAGACUUACCCAUUUGCUAUCGGAAAUUGGAUAGAUUAUACCUGCAUCAAGAAGUUUCAGAAUUUCUUUCUUCAUUACUUCCAUCAUGAGUGGAUUCAAACGGCAUUGACCUUGAAUCGAAGGUUUGGCAUCUUCCUCCAAUAGUAUUCUAUGCAUGCACAUGGAUGGACAUAUCCGUUUAAUAUCAACAAUUGUCCACCUAAUAGCCUUUUUGUAAUCCUUCAGCACUCUAAUAAGCUUUUCUUCCUCUAAAGUACUAAGCUUUGAAGAGAUGAUCACCGGAAGUGUCUCACCAUCUCCUAGAAACAUGUACUUUAGAUGACUCGGCAAUGGUUUAAGCUUUAUUUUCGGUGCCUACAAAAUAGAUGGAAGAAGUUUUGCAUGAGAUGAAGGUAAUUUAAUAUAAGACAUAUGAUGAGUUAAAGUUCUCAAAGAAUUUAAUUCAUAAAUUGUCUCUUGCAAUACAUAAUUUAAAACAAACUCAUUUUCAUCCUUUUGCAAUCCUUUGAGGCCCAAACUAUUAUUUAAAGUAGCUACCAAUGAAUCCUCAACAUCCAAAUAAAAAACUUCCUGCACUAUAGGGUUAAUAACAUCCACAGAAAAUACCGAAUGUUCCUCACUAUGAUAUUUCAUGGCAUCAUUCAUAUUGAAUUCUAUAACCUCUCCAUCAAACUCCAUAGUGAGAGUCCCUUUAUGUACAUCCAUUUUAGUCCUAGCAGUCUUAGGAAAAUGUCUUCCUAGCAAAAUUAGGACAGAAUUAAAGGAGUUAUCAUGUUCCAUAUCAAGUACAUAAAAAUCAGAAGGAAAAACCAACUCAUUAACUUGUACUAAGACAUCUUCUAAUACCCCAUCAGGAUAUGCAUUAGACCUAUCAACUAGUUGAAUUAUCACACCAGUUUCUUUUAAUGGACCAACAUUCAAAGAUGAAUAAAUAGAACGAGACAUGACAUUAAUAGAAGCUCCUAGAUCUAACAUAGCCUUCUCAACUCUAACACUACCAAUUUUGCAAGGGAUAGUAAACAUACCUGGAUUCUUGCACUUAGGAGGUAGUUUCUUUUGGAGAACUACUGAAACAUUCUCCCCCACGUGAACUCUUUCAUCUUCUCUUAAUUUUCUCUUAGAGGUGCGCAGUUCCUUAAGGAAUUUAGCAUAUCGAGGUAUUUGUUUUAUAGCAUCUAAUAAAGGAAUAUUUACCUCAACCUUGUGGAAUGUCUCAAGGAUGUCUUUCUCUUGUUUCUUCUUCUUGGAUUUUGCAAACCGACUUGGAAAAGGAGAAGGUAUCACCACAGGUAGAGGUUUCGCUCUAGUGGGUUGCGCAUCUUGAGAUUUAGGCAUCAAUUCAUUCUUCUCAAGCUCAUCUUCUAUAUGUUUUGUCACUUUCUUACUAGGCUCUUGCAACUCCUUCCCACUUAUAAGGAUGAUAGAACUAGCGUUUUGCUUUGGAUUCACCUCAAAUUGUGAAGGUAAUCUCCCUGAUACUUGAGACUCCAGACGGCUCACUGUAGUCGUCAAUUGACUCAUUUGGUUCCCUAAAUUAUGAAUGUUUGUUGUAGUUGCCUGCUGAAAUUGUUGAGUGUUAGUCGCAAGUGAUUUAACAAUUUCUUCAAGAGAUAUACCUAACUUGGAGUUUGACAGUGGAGGUGCUGGUUGUCUUGGUGGAUAUUGUUGUGGGAAUCCUGACGGCCUAACUCCAUAGCUGAAGUUGGGAUGAUCCUUCCAUCCCAGAUUGUAUGUUUGUGCAUAAGGAUCAUAUCUCCUCUGAUGCAUACUUGGAAAUCCUCCAACUGCAUUGGCUUGUUCAACGGGUUCUUCUUAAAGUGUAGGACACAUUUCAGUUGAAGACCCGUAUUGGAACAAAUGCCACAAGUCUUCACCUGUUGCACAUUACCUAUAAUAAAUUUUUCCACAAGAGAAGUAAGUUUAUCUAAACAUUGUUCAAUAGAAGAAAUAUUUACCUCAUUCACCUUCUUUGAAGUGGGAUCUUGCCUGCUGCUAAAUUAUUGUGCAUUGGCAGCCAUAUUUGAGAUCAACUCUCUUGCUUGAGUAGGGGUCUUGUUCACCAACACACCUCCACUAUCAGCAUCUAUCAUACUCCUAUCCAUCAAUGACAGUCCUUCAUAAAAAUAUUGAAUAAGAAGUUGAUCAGAAAUCUGAUGUUGAGGACAUCUGGCACACAAUUGUUUGAAUCGCUCCCAAUACUCAUACAAAGUCUCCCUAGGAAGUUGUCUGAUCCCACAAAUGUCUUUUCUGAUAUUGGCAGCUCUUAAAGCAUGAAAGUACUUCUCAAGGAACUGCUUCUUUAAAUCAUUCCACGUUGUAAUCGAUCCAGGAGGCAAGUAGUACAACCAGUCUUUAGCUAGCCCAUCUAAAGAGAAAGAAAAAGCACGCAGCUUAAUCUGCUCUUCAGUCACGCCUUGUGGCCUCAUACUUGAACACACAACAUGAAACUCCUUGAGAUGUUUAUGAGGAUCUUCACCUACAAAACCAUGAAACUUGGGUACCAAAUGAAUAAGACCAGACUUUAAUUCAAAAAUUACCUCCAAGUCUACAUAUUGAAUGCAGAGUGGUUGCUGAUUCAAGUCUGAUUCAGCUAACUCUCUAAGAGUUCUUUCUACAGGUGCAGCUCUAUCCAUCACAUGUUCUUUCGGAUCGCUAGAUGAUUCAACUAAAUCAGGCACCGUANNNNNNNNNNNNNNNNNNNNNNNNNNNNNNNNNNNNNNNNNNNNNNNNNNNNNNNNNNNNNNNNNNNNNNNNNNNNNNNNNNNNNNNNNNNNNNNNNNNNNNNNNNNNNNNNNNNNNNNNNNNNNNNNNNNNNNNNNNNNNNNNNNNNNNNNNNNNNNNNNNNNNNNNNNNNNNNNNNNNNNNNNNNNNNNNNNNNNNNNNNNNNNNNNNNNNNNNNNNNNNNNNNNNNNNNNNNNNNNNNNNNNNNNNNNNNNNNNNNNNNNNNNNNNNNNNNNNNNNNNNNNNNNNNNNNNNNNNNNNNNNNNNNNNNNNNNNNNNNNNNNNNNNNNNNNNNNNNNNNNNNNNNNNNNNNNNNNNNNNNNNNNNNNNNNNNNNNNNNNNNNNNNNNNNNNNNNNNNNNNNNNNNNNNNNNNNNNNNNNNNNNNNNNNNNNNNNNNNNNNNNNNNNNNNNNNNNNNNNNNNNNNNNNNNNNNNNNNNNNNNNNNNNNNNNNNNNNNNNNNNNNNNNNNNNNNNNNNNNNNNNNNNNNNNNNNNNNNNNNNNNNNNNNNNNNNNNNNNNNNNNNNNNNNNNNNNNNNNNNNNNNNNNNNNNNNNNNNNNNNNNNNNNNNNNNNNNNNNNNNNNNNNNNNNNNNNNNNNNNNNNNNNNNNNNNNNNNNNNNNNNNNNNNNNNNNNNNNNNNNNNNNNNNNNNNNNNNNNNNNNNNNNNNNNNNNNNNNNNNNNNNNNNNNNNNNNNNNNNNNNNNNNNNNNNNNNNNNNNNNNNNNNNNNNNNNNNNNNNNNNNNNNNNNNNNNNNNNNNNNNNNNNNNNNNNNNNNNNNNNNNNNNNNNNNNNNNNNNNNNNNNNNNNNNNNNNNNNNNNNNNNNNNNNNNNNNNNNNNNNNNNNNNNNNNNNNNNNNNNNNNNNNNNNNNNNNNNNNNNNNNNNNNNNNNNNNNNNNNNNNNNNNNNNNNNNNNNNNNNNNNNNNNNNNNNNNNNNNNNNNNNNNNNNNNNNNNNNNNNNNNNNNNNNNNNNNNNNNNNNNNNNNNNNNNNNNNNNNNNNNNNNNNNNNNNNNNNNNNNNNNNNNNNNNNNNNNNNNNNNNNNNNNNNNNNNNNNNNNNNNNNNNNNNNNNNNNNNNNNNNNNNNNNNNNNNNNNNNNNNNNNNNNNNNNNNNNNNNNNNNNNNNNNNNNNNNNNNNNNNNNNNNNNNNNNNNNNNNNNNNNNNNNNNNNNNNNNNNNNNNNNNNNNNNNNNNNNNNNNNNNNNNNNNNNNNNNNNNNNNNNNNNNNNNNNNNNNNNNNNNNNNNNNNNNNNNNNNNNNNNNNNNNNNNNNNNNNNNNNNNNNNNNNNNNNNNNNNNNNNNNNNNNNNNNNNNNNNNNNNNNNNNNNNNNNNNNNNNNNNNNNNNNNNNNNNNNNNNNNNNNNNNNNNNNNNNNNNNNNNNNNNNNNNNNNNNNNNNNNNNNNNNNNNNNNNNNNNNNNNNNNNNNNNNNNNNNNNNNNNNNNNNNNNNNNNNNNNNNNNNNNNNNNNNNNNNNNNNNNNNNNNNNNNNNNNNNNNNNNNNNNNNNNNNNNNNNNNNNNNNNNNNNNNNNNNNNNNNNNNNNNNNNNNNNNNNNNNNNNNNNNNNNNNNNNNNNNNNNNNNNNNNNNNNNNNNNNNNNNNNNNNNNNNNNNNNNNNNNNNNNNNNNNNNNNNNNNNNNNNNNNNNNNNNNNNNNNNNNNNNNNNNNNNNNNNNNNNNNNNNNNNNNNNNNNNNNNNNNNNNNNNNNNNNNNNNNNNNNNNNNNNNNNNNNNNNNNNNNNNNNNNNNNNNNNNNNNNNNNNNNNNNNNNNNNNNNNNNNNNNNNNNNNNNNNNNNNNNNNNNNNNNNNNNNNNNNNNNNNNNNNNNNNNNNNNNNNNNNNNNNNNNNNNNNNNNNNNNNNNNNNNNNNNNNNNNNNNNNNNNNNNNNNNNNNNNNNNNNNNNNNNNNNNNNNNNNNNNNNNNNNNNNNNNNNNNNNNNNNNNNNNNNNNNNNNNNNNNNNNNNNNNNNNNNNNNNNNNNNNNNNNNNNNNNNNNNNNNNNNNNNNNNNNNNNNNNNNNNNNNNNNNNNNNNNNNNNNNNNNNNNNNNNNNNNNNNNNNNNNNNNNNNNNNNNNNNNNNNNNNNNNNNNNNNNNNNNNNNNNNNNNNNNNNNNNNNNNNNNNNNNNNNNNNNNNNNNNNNNNNNNNNNNNNNNNNNNNNNNNNNNNNNNNNNNNNNNNNNNNNNNNNNNNNNNNNNNNNNNNNNNNUCUUCCUCUAAAGUACUAAGCUUUGAAGAGAUGAUCACCGGAAGUGUCUCACCAUCUCCUAGAAACAUGUACUUUAGAUGACUCGGCAAUGGUUUAAGCUUUAUUUUCGGUGCCUACAAAAUAGAUGGAAGAAGUUUUGCAUGAGAUGAAGGUAAUUUAAUAUAAGACAUAUGAUGAGUUAAAGUUCUCAAAGAAUUUAAUUCAUAAAUUGUCUCUUGCAAUACAUAAUUUAAAACAAACUCAUUUUCAUCCUUUUGCAAUCCUUUGAGGCCCAAACUAUUAUUUAAAGUAGCUACCAAUGAAUCCUCAACAUCCAAAUAAAAAACUUCCUGCACUAUAGGGUUAAUAACAUCCACAGAAAAUACCGAAUGUUCCUCACUAUGAUAUUUCAUGGCAUCAUUCAUAUUGAAUUCUAUAACCUCUCCAUCAAACUCCAUAGUGAGAGUCCCUUUAUGUACAUCCAUUUUAGUCCUAGCAGUCUUAGGAAAAUGUCUUCCUAGCAAAAUUAGGACAGAAUUAAAGGAGUUAUCAUGUUCCAUAUCAAGUACAUAAAAAUCAGAAGGAAAAACCAACUCAUUAACUUGUACUAAGACAUCUUCUAAUACCCCAUCAGGAUAUGCAUUAGACCUAUCAACUAGUUGAAUUAUCACACCAGUUUCUUUUAAUGGACCAACAUUCAAAGAUGAAUAAAUAGAACGAGACAUGACAUUAAUAGAAGCUCCUAGAUCUAACAUAGCCUUCUCAACUCUAACACUACCAAUUUUGCAAGGGAUAGUAAACAUACCUGGAUUCUUGCACUUAGGAGGUAGUUUCUUUUGGAGAACUACUGAAACAUUCUCCCCCACGUGAACUCUUUCAUCUUCUCUUAAUUUUCUCUUAGAGGUGCGCAGUUCCUUAAGGAAUUUAGCAUAUCGAGGUAUUUGUUUUAUAGCAUCUAAUAAAGGAAUAUUUACCUCAACCUUGUGGAAUGUCUCAAGGAUGUCUUUCUCUUGUUUCUUCUUCUUGGAUUUUGCAAACCGACUUGGAAAAGGAGAAGGUAUCACCACAGGUAGAGGUUUCGCUCUAGUGGGUUGCGCAUCUUGAGAUUUAGGCAUCAAUUCAUUCUUCUCAAGCUCAUCUUCUAUAUGUUUUGUCACUUUCUUACUAGGCUCUUGCAACUCCUUCCCACUUAUAAGGAUGAUAGAACUAGCGUUUUGCUUUGGAUUCACCUCAAAUUGUGAAGGUAAUCUCCCUGAUACUUGAGACUCCAGACGGCUCACUGUAGUCGUCAAUUGACUCAUUUGGUUCCCUAAAUUAUGAAUGUUUGUUGUAGUUGCCUGCUGAAAUUGUUGAGUGUUAGUCGCAAGUGAUUUAACAAUUUCUUCAAGAGAUAUACCUAACUUGGAGUUUGACAGUGGAGGUGCUGGUUGUCUUGGUGGAUAUUGUUGUGGGAAUCCUGACGGCCUAACUCCAUAGCUGAAGUUGGGAUGAUCCUUCCAUCCCAGAUUGUAUGUUUGUGCAUAAGGAUCAUAUCUCCUCUGAUGCAUACUUGGAAAUCCUCCAACUGCAUUGGCUUGUUCAACGGGUUCUUCUUAAAGUGUAGGACACAUUUCAGUUGAAGACCCGGCACAUUACCUACAACAAACUUUUCCACAAGAGAAGUAAGUUUGCCUAAACAUUGUUCAAUAGAAGAAAUAUUUACCUCAUUCACCUUCUUUGAAGUGGGAUCUUGCCUGCUGCUAAAUUAUUGUGCAUUGGCAGCCAUAUUUGAGAUCAACUCUCUUGCUUGAGUAGGGGUCUUGUUCACCAACACACCUCCACUAUCAGCAUCUAUCAUACUCCUAUCCAUCAAUGACAGUCCUUCAUAAAAAUAUUGAAUAAGAAGUUGAUCAGAAAUCUGAUGUUGAGGACAUCUGGCACACAAUUGUUUGAAUCGCUCCCAAUACUCAUACAAAGUCUCCCUAGGAAGUUGUCUGAUCCCACAAAUGUCUUUUCUGAUAUUGGCAGCUCUUAAAGCAUGAAAGUACUUCUCAAGGAACUGCUUCUUUAAAUCAUUCCACGUUGUAAUCGAUCCAGGAGGCAAGUAGUACAACCAGUCUUUAGCUAGCCCAUCUAAAGAGAAAGAAAAAGCACGCAGCUUAAUCUGCUCUUCAGUCACGCCUUGUGGCCUCAUACUUGAACACACAACAUGAAACUCCUUGAGAUGUUUAUGAGGAUCUUCACCUACAAAACCAUGAAACUUGGGUACCAAAUGAAUAAGACCAGACUUUAAUUCAAAAAUUACCUCCAAGUCUACAUAUUGAAUGCAGAGUGGUUGCUGAUUCAAGUCUGAUUCAGCUAACUCUCUAAGAGUUCUUUCUACAGGUGCAGCUCUAUCAAUCACUUGUUCUUUUAAAUCGCUAGAUGAUUCAACCAAAUUAGGCACCGUAUCUAUUUCAGAAAGCAAAGGCGACGAGGAUCGUUGUUUAGCUCGCUUCAUCUGCUAUCUUAGCUGGCGAGCUGUCUUCUCAAUUUCAGGAUCAAACAAAAGUGUACCUGUACGAGAAGAACAAACAAUACACCAAGUAAAACAUAAAAAGGAUUAAAUAAACGACACCAAUCCCCGGCAACGGCGCCAAAAUUUGAUGGUUGUCGAAGCCAGCAAAAAUAAAUACCUACUCUAAAUAAAUUGUGUAUGAUAGAGCAAGGUCGUGUCCACAAAGAUCGGUAAUUAUUUAAAUCCUUUUAAAAUAUAAAAUGCAAAAUGGGGGGAUUGUUGACAAUAAUAGAAACCAAAUUAAAAUAACAAGAAUGCAAAUUCAAAAUUGUGAUUCAAAUUGGGGAAAGCUCUGGUUGAAGGAAUUAACUCAGCUUGAUUCGACUACUUAUGAAUAGAUCGGUUAUAGCUACUGAGACACUCUAAUAGCCAAUCUCUCCUUAACUAGUCGAUAAUCAAGGUAGGACCAUUGGUUAUUUCCCUAAUCAAUAGAUAACUCUAGAUACGAUCAUAGGAUUUAAUCAAUUGACAGCCUAAAAAACCAGAGAGACCCAAAUCCUAAUCAACAAACGCAUACGAUGGUUCAUUUAAAUUAGAUUGUUUAUUCUCAUAACACAACGCACUGUUAUACUAUUUGUCACAAACAUUAAAAUCUUCAUACGAUGAAUCCUUUAAUUGACAAUAGAUUAAGUUUAUAAUUAAAUAGUGGCCAAUUAUCUAAUUAACAAACAUAAUCAUGACAAUAAUUUAGAGAAUAAACAAAUACCCAAAAAGUAAUAAAACAAUUAAAGCAUAAGAAAGAUCUCACAGUAAUGAUGAAUCAAAGCUUCAUUAACUUUCAACCAGAAUAAUAGGUUUAGUUCUUCAUAGAGAGAAGAGAAAAAUUUAGAUCUAGGGUUUCUUUUUCUUUCUUUGACAAUAGAUUCCUCCCUUCAAUUCUCUUUUUUCUCUUCUCCUCUAGAGUUCUUUUUAAAAUAAAAUACUAAUAUCUAAAAUAUUAUCUAAAUAUUAAAUUCGUAAUUAUAAAAAUAACCAAAAAGACAAAACACGUUAAAAUAAAAACUGCAGGUCCUUAGUUGACAGUAUGCGCCCACGCCUUAUCAAUAAAGUUCUUCUGAAGCUCAUAAUUUUUCCAGAAAAAUAAUCAUCAUCAAACAUCAUCUUGUAGCUCAAUUUUAGCACCAAUCAAUAGAAUUGCACCUACAGAAAUAAAACACAAGUAAAUCACUAUUAUUAAAUGCAAAACAUCGAUAUUAAAGGAAGUAAACAAUGCAAAACUAGUGCAUAAAUUGCACUUUAACACCAUCAGAGAGAUUAGAAAUAUGGGAACAUUUCACUAAAUAUGAUCCAGGUAAUAGAUGCAAGUGUAAUUAUUGUGGUAAUGAUUAUGCUUGUAAGAAUAAACAUGGGACUAAAAUUGGGACUAGCACAUUAAGGAAUCAUUUAUUGCGUUGUCCUGAUUAUUUGAGCAUAUUUGAGGAUGAAAAUCAAACAACCUCACAUGAAAUAAAAGGUGAAUCUAAGUCUCAUGUCUUUGAUAAAGAAGCAUGUAGAAAAGCCCUUGCAAGGUUAAUUAUUAUUGAUGAAUUACUGCUUAGUUUUGUGGAGAAAUAGGGCUUUCAACAAUAUAGUAAGCAAUUGGAACCAAACUUUAAUUUACCAUCUAGGAGAACCCUUACUAGAGAUGUGUACAAACUUUUUUGGGAUGAAAAGUAAAAAUUGUGAAACUUUUUUGUUUCAAAUAAGCAAAGGGUUUGUAUAACCACAUAUGCAUGGACUUCUAUUCAAAAUUAUAUCACCAGCCCAUUUCAUUGAUAGUGAAUGGAAACUACAAAAGAGAAAUUUAAAUUUUUGUAUAGUACCUGACCAUAAAGGGGAGACAAUUGGAAAGGUAAUUGAGUCUUGUUUACUUGAGUGGGGUAUAGAAAGGGUAUUUACCAUUACUGUUGAUAAUGCUAGUUCAAAUGAGUUAGCUAUCAAUUAUGUCAAAAAGAAAUUGAAGAAUUGGAGUGAGAAUGGGCUUGUGCUAGAUGAUGACUUUUUACAUAUCAGAUGUUGUGCGCAUAUUUUGAAUUUAAUUGUGAAUGAAGGGUUGAAAGACUUACAUGUGUCAAUUUCCAGAAUUCAUAAUGCUGUCAAAUAUGUAAAGUCCUCUCCCGCAAGGCUAAAAAAAUUUAAAAUAUGUGUGGAGCAUGAAAGAAUUGAAGGUACUGGUCUUGUGAUUCAAAAACUUUUUUGUUUCAAAUAAGCAAAGGGUUUGUAUAACCACAUAUGCAUGGACUUCUAUUCAAAAUUAUAUCACCAGCCCAUUUCAUUGAUAGUGAAUGGAAACUACAAAAGAGAAAUUUAAAUUUUUGUAUAGUACCUGACCAUAAAGGGGAGACAAUUGGAAAGGUAAUUGAGUCUUGUUUACUUGAGUGGGGUAUAGAAAGGGUAUUUACCAUUACUGUUGAUAAUGCUAGUUCAAAUGAGUUAGCUAUCAAUUAUGUCAAAAAGAAAUUGAAGAAUUGGAGUGAGAAUGGGCUUGUGCUAGAUGGUGAGUUUUUACAUAUGAGAUGUUGUGCGCAUAUUUUAAAUUUAAUUGUGAAUGAAGGGUUGAAAGACUUACAUGUGUCAAUUUCCAGAAUUCAUAAUGCUGUCAAAUAUGUAAAGUCCUCUCCCGCAAGGCUAAAAAAAUUUAAAAUAUGUGUGGAGCAUGAAAGAAUUGAAGGUACUGGUCUUGUGAUUCAAAAUGUGUCCACUAGGUGGAAUUCCACCUACUUAAUGUUGGAGAGUUCUUUAAAAUUUUAAAAGGCUUUUGAGAGAAUGGAGGAUGAUGAUCAACAUUAUGUUUCAUAUUUCAAAGAAGAUGGAGGACCCCCUAAUAGUGAUGAUUGGGAAAAUGCUAAUGUUUUUGUGUUGUUUUUGAAGUCAUUUUAUGAUAUAACUUUGAAAUUUAGUGGUUCAAUGUACGUGACUUCAAACUUAUAUUUUCAUGAAAUGUGCUCAAUUCAUUCCGAUUUGACAUCAUUAAUUGAAAGUAGUGAUGAUCUUGUUUUAUCUAAAAUGGCAACAAGUAUGAAAAAUAAAUAUGACAAAUAUUGGGGUUCAAUUGAUAGGUUAAAAGAGGUGAAAAAUCUUUUAAUACGUCUUUAUGAUUACUAUAAAGAUCUUGACACUAAGAUUGAUGGUUGUGGAUCAUCUAGUGGUGUUAGUAAGUCGUCAAUUGUUGAUAGUAGGAAAUUUGAUAAAAAGAUGGGGUUUUCUAAACUUUCAAGUGUUGCAAAGUUCAGACAAAGAAUAGGAAAAGAUGAUUGUGUUGAGAUGAAGAAUGAAGUAAAGAGGUACUUGUUGGAGCCAUGUGAACAUGUUGAUGAUGAUGACUUUGAGAUUUUGACUUGGUGGAAAAUGAACUCAAUAAAAUAUCGAGUUCUUUCACACAUUGCAAAGGAUGUGUUUGCAAUUCCAAUAUCUACAGUAGCUUCAGAAUCUGCUUUUAGUACUAGAGGGCGCAUCAUUGAUUCAUUUUAUAGUUCUUUAAGUCCAAAGAUGGUGGAAGUUUUGAUAUGCUUACAAAAUUGGUUACGUAACACUUUUGUCCCAUUACAAGAUGAACCAACAAUGGAGGAGCUUGAGUUUUAUGAAGUGAUGAUGUCAGGUAACUAUUUAUCAUAACAAGUUUUAAAAAAAUUUAUAUAUUUGUUUAUCACUAGUUUUUUUUUCAUUAAUUUAUUUUUAUUUAAUGCAGAGUUUGGAUCAAAUAUAACAAUGGAGGCGAUGGCUUUGAAUUGAUGUUAUUCUUAUGAUUAUCAAAUAAAACAACAAAGUUUGGAUCAAACAUUAUAAUUUUUCUUUUUUGGUUAUUUAUUUAUUGGUGAAGGAAUUGACUUCAUUGAUCAUGGAAUCUUUUGAUUAAAAUACUGCGGAUGGAAAUGAUCAUUGAAUUUAUUUUCUUUCUUUUAAUUUGCUUAUUUAUGUCAUGUUCAUGGGAGUUUAUUAUUGGAGUUUAAUUUAAUUCUUUCUUUUAAUUUUUUAUCCAUAAUAUUUUUUCAUAUUUUAAUAUUAAUUUAAUAAUUAAUAAUAAUUAGUAAUUAUUAUAAUUUUGAUAUAAUUAAAUUUAUUAAAAUAAAAAAUAUUUUGAUUAUAAAAUUCAAACCAAACCCAAAUGAGUUGGUUUGAGUUGGGUUAAAAAUAUUUGGGUUGGGUCUAAAUUUUUAUGAUUUGGUUUGGAUUUACUUAAAACCAAAUCCAAAACAACUCAUGCCUACCCUUAGAUAUACGGAGACCAUGAGGACAGAUAAUGUUGAGUUAACCAAUGAGUUUUUGAGGGAAUGUUUAGAAAGAAAAAGAUGAGAUGAGCUAAUUUUAGAAAGAGAGAGGAAUAAAACUUGUCAUUAUCUUCUUCAAUAAUGGUCAGUUUUUGUUUUUAUAUUAGGUUAAAAUAUAAUUUCACCCUUUAAAGGAAAUUUAAACAGUAACAAAAGUAACGGUAGGGGGUGCUCCAAUAUUCAAGAAAUAGUAAGAAAGAAUUGGUACAUAAUUUAAAUAGUAGGGGGUAAUUGACGAUCCCCUAAAAAAAUUAUUGACGGCUGUAUGUCACCACCUGUCCUACACAUUCCUCGUUCUAUUGGUCAUGCGUAACACAACAAACAUUUUUUUUUUUCUGUUAUUUACAGUUAUAAAGCACUUUAGCAUCAUAAAGGAUAAAGCAAAGUCAGGAGUACUACAGAGUACGGAGUUCGGACACUUGUUGACAAUUAACAGUUCAACACUGUCUUACUCGGAAAUAUCCAUUGUCCAGCUGAAAAAGAUAAAUUGAAGUACACGGAAAUAUCCAAUUGUCGAGCUGAAAAAGAUAAAUAAAGAGAAACCUGUUUGUUGUAUUAUUGUCUACAAAACGGUAAACACAAAAAGAAAGAGAGAAAAUAAAAUUUUUUAACAGCGCAAUGAUAAAACAAAUGAGCGAGUUAUUGUAUUCGAAGGACUUUGAUGAUGAUCAAGAAAUUGGGUCGGAGAAAACCUUGAGAAGAUGUAGAUCUGCCUGCAAUGGCCGUAGAAGCGUCCAUAAGCUCGCCGGUCUCGACGAGCAUAUCAAAUUACAGGCGAAUUAUUCCUUUUAUUUCUUAAUUUUUUAAUUAUUAAUUAACUUAUGAUUCAAGUUAAUUUGGGUUAGCUUUAUUGAUUUAUUUUAAUUAUAUAAGUAAUUUUUGUAUUUACUUACUUAGUUCUUUGCCUAAUUUCGUUGAGGUUAAUGCCUAAUGGGAAACUUUUAAAAUCAACACUCAAGAAUUUAAAUGCAGAGUCAAGAGUAAAGGUGAAUAGUACUGAAUGAUUGAAUUUGCGAUACCAAACUAAAGGCUUUCUGUGUGUUAUAGGAACAAGUUAGAGUUUUCUAUAUAUGCUAUUCAAAAGCUGUACUUCACUUUACUGAAAAUCUGAGUCUGCAGUCAAACGAAGAUGUGCCAUCAAGUGAAUACAUUGUGAAUGAGGCCGACACCGAAGCUAGAAGAUUUCAAGAACCCAUUGAUGAUGUUGGAUCCACAAUCAGUGGCCUUGAUGUAAUGAUAAUUGAUACUCAAACUUUUGUAACCUCACUUAAAAUUGAAUUUAGGAUACCGAACUAAAUGCUGGCUGUGUGUUACAGGAACAAGUUACAGUUUCACCUGUCGUUCUAAAAGCCUUGUGCAGAUUUGUCAAUAGUUCACUAGAAGGUUGGCUUACCAACGACAAACAGAGAGUUGUUGGUUUGGGUUCUGCAGUCACGUUGUCCCCAUGAAUUCGCGAUAAAGCAUCAGCAGCUUUAUUGAAGGUACCAGCUUUAUAAUCGAUUCUGAAUUGAUAUCCCAUCAACUUGCGAAUGUAAAAUUGCUGCUCUGGGGUGUGAAUAACUUGUUGAAACAGUUCCUUUAUGCUUUUAUGGUCAGUUCGUAUAAGGAAAAAUCUGCCAAGGAGGUAUUGACGCCAUUUUUGAACUGCAGCUACAAUAGCAUAUAAUUCCUUCAAAUAUGUUGAGGAUGCACGCAUUCGAGGACCCAACUUUUUGCUAAAAUAAGAUAGCGGAUGCCCGGCUUGCAUUAGCACAGCACCGAUCCCGACAUUAGAAGCAUCGGUCUCAAUGACAAACUCCAAGGCAAAAUUCGGCAAGUGUAGUACAGGGGCUUCCACAAGAGCCUUCUUUAAUGCUUGAAAAGCUUGAGUAGCUGCCAGGUUCCAAUGAAAAACCUCCUUACAAAGCAACUCAGUGAGAGGAGCUGCGAUGGUUGCAUAGCCUUGAAUAAAACGUCGGUAGUACCCUGUCAGGCCCAAGAACCCUCUCAGUUGCUUCACCGAUUUAGGCAAGGGCCAAUCUACCAUGGCCGUGAUCUUUUGCGGAUCAGCAUGCACUCCUCGAGCCGACACAAUAUGGCCCAAAUAAUCAAUUGAUUCCUCGGGCUUGUCUUGUGAGAAGGCUCGUAAAUAUUGCUCAAGCCCUCGAUUAACUACUUCGGAUUGACCAUCCGUUUGGGGGUGGUAAGCCGUGCUGUGCCGUAACUGUGUACCACUUAAAUCAAACAAUUUCUGCCAAAAGUUGCUCAUGAAUAUAGGAUCACGAUCUGAAAUUAUAGAGCUAGGAAAUCCAUGUAAUUUUACAACCAUGUCAGCAAAUAAAGCUGCUGUUUUGAUGGCAGUAAAUUGAGAAGGCAAGGCUCCAAAGUGAGCUGACUUUGAUAAACGAUCCACAACAACCAGAAUUGCUUCAAAUCCUCUCGAAAGUGGCAGCCCUGUAAUGAAAUCCAUGGUUAACUCAUCCCAAACUAAUGAAGGGACAGGUAAGGGUUGUAACAGACCCGCCGGCGCUUGAGUUGAGUAUUUAAUUUGCUGGCAAACAAGGCAAGCGGCUACAUAUUGCUCAACAUCUUUCCUCAUCUUAGGCCAAAAAAAAGUCGAUGAAAGACGUACCAAUGUCUUUUUAAUACCAGCAUGUCCUGCCAUAGGUGUCUCGUGAAACUCUUUGAGUAGCACGGCUUUUAAUGAUGAGUUGGGGCUGAGGUAAUAUCGAUGUCGAAAUAGCAGGAACCGAGAAGUCAGAAGAAAGUGAACCGGCUGCAUACCUCUGAUGGAGUUAUUUCAUAUCAGGAAGAGUGCAAUUUUCCUUGUGCAGAGCUGUCAAUAGUUCACUAGAAGGUUGGCUUACAAAUGACAAACAGAGUGCUGUUGGUUUGGGUUCUUCAGUCACGUUGUCCCCAUGAAUUCGCGAUAAAGCAUCAGCAACUUUAUUGAAGUUACUAGCUUUAUAAUCGAUUCUGUAUUGAUAACCCAUCAACUUGCGAAUGUAAAAUUACUGCUUUGGGGUGUGAAUAACUUGUUGAAACUGUUCCUUUAUGCUUUUAUGGUCAGUGCGUAUAAGGAAAAAUCGACCAAGGAGGUAUUGACGCCAUUUUUGAACCGCAGCUACAAUAGCAUAUAAUUCCUUCAAAUAUGUCGAGGAUGCACGCAUUCGAGGACCCAACUUUUUGCUAAAAUAAGAUAGAGGAUGCCCGACUUGCAUUAGCACAGCACCGAUCCCGACAUUAGAAGCAUCGGUCUCAAUGACAAACUCCAAGGCAAAAUUCGGCAAGUGAAGUACAGGGGCUUCCACAAGAGCCUUCUUUAAUGCUUGAAAAGCUUGAGUAGCUGCCAGAUUCCAAUAAAAAGCCUCCUUACAAAGCAACUCAGUGAGAGAAGCUGCGAUGGUUGCAUAGCCUUGAAUAAAACGUCAGUAGUACCCUGUCAGCCCCAAGAACCCUCUCAGUUGCUUCACCGAUUUAGGCAAGGGCCAAUCUACCAUGGCUGUGAUCUUUUGCGGAUCAGCGUGCACUCCUCGAGCCGACACAAUAUGGCCCAAAUAAUCAAUUGAUUCCUGGCAAAACAAACAUUUGGAGAAUUUGACAUAAAAUUGAUAUGUGUAUAAACAACUCAUAACCUGCUCCAAAUGAUACACAUGAUCAGCCAAUGAUGCACUAUAGACCAAUAUAUCAUCAAAAAAGACAAUAACAAAUUUACGUAAAAAGGAAGCAAAUAAUUGGUUCAUUGUUGCUUGAAAAGUGGACGGCGCGUUGGUCAAACCGAACGGCAUAACAAGAAACUCGUAGUGUCCAUCAUGCGUGCGAAACGCUGUUUUAUAAGUAUCCCUCUUGUGAACUCUUAUCUGGUGAUAACCGGCUCUUAGAUCAAGUUUGCUGAAAAUCCUAGCACCGCCAAGUUCGUCAAACAAUUCAUCAAUAGUGGGGAUGGGAAAUUUGUCCUUCACUGUCACCGUAUUCACAGCGCGGUAAUCCACACAGAAUCUGUAGGAGCCAUCCUUUUUCUUUACUAGCAUUACCGGUGAAGAAAAUGGGCUUUGGCUGGGUUUUAUGAUGCCUUGAUUCUGCUGUACCGUACAUCCGCCUUGGCCGUACAGCAGAUUUUUUUCAAAUUUAUAGUAAAUACAUUUAAAAUUUCAAUUGUAAUAGUGUGAUGUAAAUCUGCUGUACGGCCAAGGCGGAUGUACGGUACAGCAGAAAAUGUGGAAUAGUGCAUGCUUGAAGCCUAUAAAUUGAAGCCAUUUUUUNNNNNNNNNNNNNNNNNNNNNNNNNNNNNNNNNNNNNNNNNNNNNNNNNNNNNNNNNNNNNNNNNNNNNNNNNNNNNNNNNNNNNNNNNNNNNNNNNNNNNNNNNNNNNNNNNNNNNNNNNNNNNNNNNNNNNNNNNNNNNNNNNNNNNNNNNNNNNNNNNNNNNNNNNNNNNNNNNNNNNNNNNNNNNNNNNNNNNNNNNNNNNNNNNNNNNNNNNNNNNNNNNNNNNNNNNNNNNNNNNNNNNNNNNNNNNNNNNNNNNNNNNNNNNNNNNNNNNNNNNNNNNNNNNNNNNNNNNNNNNNNNNNNNNNNNNNNNNNNNNNNNNNNNNNNNNNNNNNNNNNNNNNNNNNNNNNNNNNNNNNNNNNNNNNNNNNNNNNNNNNNNNNNNNNNNNNNNNNNNNNNNNNNNNNNNNNNNNNNNNNNNNNNNNNNNNNNNNNNNNNNNNNNNNNNNNNNNNNNNNNNNNNNNNNNNNNNNNNNNNNNNNNNNNNNNNNNNNNNNNNNNNNNNNNNNNNNNNNNNNNNNNNNNNNNNNNNNNNNNNNNNNNNNNNNNNNNNNNNNNNNNNNNNNNNNNNNNNNNNNNNNNNNNNNNNNNNNNNNNNNNNNNNNNNNNNNNNNNNNNNNNNNNNNNNNNNNNNNNNNNNNNNNNNNNNNNNNNNNNNNNNNNNNNNNNNNNNNNNNNNNNNNNNNNNNNNNNNNNNNNNNNNNNNNNNNNNNNNNNNNNNNNNNNNNNNNNNNNNNNNNNNNNNNNNNNNNNNNNNNNNNNNNNNNNNNNNNNNNNNNNNNNNNNNNNNNNNNNNNNNNNNNNNNNNNNNNNNNNNNNNNNNNNNNNNNNNNNNNNNNNNNNNNNNNNNNNNNNNNNNNNNNNNNNNNNNNNNNNNNNNNNNNNNNNNNNNNNNNNNNNNNNNNNNNNNNNNNNNNNNNNNNNNNNNNNNNNNNNNNNNNNNNNNNNNNNNNNNNNNNNNNNNNNNNNNNNNNNNNNNNNNNNNNNNNNNNNNNNNNNNNNNNNNNNNNNNNNNNNNNNNNNNNNNNNNNNNNNNNNNNNNNNNNNNNNNNNNNNNNNNNNNNNNNNNNNNNNNNNNNNNNNNNNNNNNNNNNNNNNNNNNNNNNNNNNNNNNNNNNNNNNNNNNNNNNNNNNNNNNNNNNNNNNNNNNNNNNNNNNNNNNNNNNNNNNNNNNNNNNNNNNNNNNNNNNNNNNNNNNNNNNNNNNNNNNNNNNNNNNNNNNNNNNNNNNNNNNNNNNNNNNNNNNNNNNNNNNNNNNNNNNNNNNNNNNNNNNNNNNNNNNNNNNNNNNNNNNNNNNNNNNNNNNNNNNNNNNNNNNNNNNNNNNNNNNNNNNNNNNNNNNNNNNNNNNNNNNNNNNNNNNNNNNNNNNNNNNNNNNNNNNNNNNNNNNNNNNNNNNNNNNNNNNNNNNNNNNNNNNNNNNNNNNNNNNNNNNNNNNNNNNNNNNNNNNNNNNNNNNNNNNNNNNNNNNNNNNNNNNNNNNNNNNNNNNNNNNNNNNNNNNNNNNNNNNNNNNNNNNNNNNNNNNNNNNNNNNNNNNNNNNNNNNNNNNNNNNNNNNNNNNNNNNNNNNNNNNNNNNNNNNNNNNNNNNNNNNAAGGCGUUCAGCCAAUGGCGGCUUAAGAAAAUUGUGGGUACUGCCACUGUCAAUUAACACCUGAAACUGAUAGCUGGCAACGGUGCCCAGCACCCUUAAAGAUCGUGGAUUAGUUUGCCCAGCCAAGGCAUUCAAACUAGAUAUGUCCGCUGUGACUACUUCAUCUGGUUGUGCAUGACUAAAAGCGUCCUUACUUGGCUCAUCAUCUUCAUCAUCCAUACCCAUUAAUAACAAAAACUUGCUACAACAGCGAUGUGUGGCGCUAUAUUUUUGGUCGCAGUUGUAACAGAGCCCUUUUUCUCUUUUCUCUCUUAAUUCGGCUGGAGUUAAUCGACGAAUGGGCAAGGUGGGAGUAGGCAAUAAUGGGGGUUGAGGUGGCUGUUUAGUGGCUGACAAACUAGGAAGAGGAGUUGUUGUUGGGGUUUUAUAUGAUGCAGGUUGUGGGGAGGCAGUAAUGGUGGAUUGGUGGGUGUGAGUAGAUGAGGGUGUCCACUUUGUCCAAGAACGGCUAGAGGUCUUGAUUUCUUCCGACCGUGCCUCAUAAGCUUUGGCUAAAGCAAAAGCCUCCAUGAGAGAUGUGGGUCUUGCAAAUAAUAAUUCUCGUCUGAUAUCGGGUUUUAAGCCCGUGAUAAAGAAACUAACCAACAAUGGCUCGGAGAUGCCCGUGACCUUGUUCAUCAAAUCCUCAAAGGCAGACUGAAAAUCAGCAACAGUCGACGUUUGGGAGAGCUUGGAGAGGUUACCUUGAUGAUCUUCAUACAUGGAUGUACCAAAUCUUUGCUUAAGAUUGAGUAAAAAAUUCUGCCAAGUGCUCAGCAAGUUGUUGGCCUUCAUCCAUUGAUACCAUGCUGCUGCUUUUCCCUCCAUGUGAAAAGAUACAAUACGAAGGCGUAACUGGUCAGGGGUGCCGUGAAAAUCAAAGAACUCAUUGAUUCGAAAAUCCCAACCAUUCGGAUCAGUGCCAUCAAAUUUUGGGACAUCCAUUUUCAUAGAACGCAACAGAGGAGAGAUAUCCGAAACACCUGACAGUACAGUCGAAGACGCUGGUUCCGGUGCCAUUGGGCGGGAAGAACCCACUGACGCUCCGACAGAACCAUUGAUUUGGGAACGUAGCUCCUCAAAACGAGAAUCCAUCGUGGACAUAUAUUGUUGUAAGGUCUGAUGAACAGCAAGCGUUUGAUUUUCAAUGAGCGUUUUCAUGGUGGAGAGAACUGCUGAAUCAGUCGUUGGUUCUGUGAGAGACAUUUGUUUUUUUUUUUUUGUGUGUGAAGAGAUGAAAUGAAAGCACCAGUUGAUACGACACUCUUUGAGCGAGUGCAGGCUCCAAUCUGUGGGGAAAAGAAUUUGCAGAAAGAGAAAAGGGACAGGGGAAUUGCAGAGAAGAGAAAGAAGACGAAGCUGAAAAAAGACAAAAUGAUAUAUUGCUUUUUUUGAUAUCCCCCACGGGUCCCUUUGACAGUACAAUAUAUUCUCUCUUCCAAAAACAGCCACGCACCCUUAACUAACUAAAAUAGAAUAAAAUUGAUAACAACAAAAUAAUAAUUGAAAACAGAACAAUAUUCGUUAUUAUAAUCUCUCAAGCAUUCUCGAACAUUCCUCAAAUGACAAAGUCUUUGAGCCAUCCUGGUUUCUUUCUCGCGCGAGCUAAUCCUGUCUUGAGCUGCUCUCUAGCUUGUGUCUCAUUCACGGGUUGGACUUCUUCCAUUUCUGCAGGCUGUGUCUCUUCCCUUGCUGUCUCAUUGUGCUCGAUCUGAUUCACAACAAUUGGCCAGGUUGUAUCAAGGAUCCUUCUUGCUGCAUUUCUAUUGUCAGCAUUUGGUUUUGCUAUUACUAUGAGUACGCAUUCUUGGACCGGGAGAAGAAACAUAGCUGCAACCAGAAUGUAUUUACAGAAGCGACUACUUAUGUUGUUGGAAAUGUCUUUCUCUUUGGUCCAGUUGAUUGUUUCGCUCAUUUAUUUUAUUCUGGCGGAAUUGGGUGUCAAGAACAAUUUUAGUACAUCUGUUUUCCCACUGGUCUUUGCUAUAAUUGCUGCUGUGUUCACUUUCAAAUAUGAUGGGGAAGUUUCUGAUUCAUCAGGCCUCGACAGUGCGCUUGUGGCCCUAGCUGCUGGUAAUCAGGUAUGAUUGUGAACACAAUUGUAAUCAUCAAGCUGCACUUGGUGAAUUCGCAUAACUUAUCACCUCUAGGACUAUGAAUUCCUACAAAUACAUAUGUAUCUGUAAUUUGGAUUAUAACUAUUCAGUAUAUAUAUUUUAUCUUUUCUGAGUAACUUUCAAUUUAUAGAGCUCGUUGAGGGGGUUAAAUGAUGGAGUUAAGUCUUUUGGUGUCAAGUUAUUUGAGAUUCUUGAAAUUCAUGAAACUUGUAUUACGCCAAUUAGAAAAAAUGAAGCUGUUUUGAUUGGGUCACACAUGAAACUUCUGAUGUGCCAAUUAAUUAUUGGUCGGCAUGGUCAAUUGUCUUGGGUAAAGGUACACUAUAUGAUAUGAAUUAUUUUAAAAAGUGAUUUUAUUAUUAUCAUUAUCAUUAUUAUUAUUUAACAUAAGGAUUUUAUUAUUAUUAUUAAUUUUAAAACAUUGAUAGUGGGGUAAUUAUAAAUUUGUAUGUUUUAAUGAUAAUCAUCCAACAUCCUGUUGAUCAAAUUCACUGCAAAAGCAGCUUUUGUUCCUGCUGCAUAGCGGGUUUUUUUUACCAGAACUCUUGCAUGUGCCUCCAGAAACUAGUUCAAAUUGUCAAUUAACAUCACCAUGAAAUCAAGAGAACAUCCCACUAGCUAUAUUCAUGUUGCUAGUAGAUGUACAUUGGAUUAUUAUUUCCUUGUGGUUGAAGAUUCAUCUGAACCAAAUGGAGAUUGACUUUUGAAAUGAAAUAAAUAAAUAAAUAACAAAAAAGCAGGAGCACAAACAGAAAAUUUUAUAUUUUUUUUUCUGACAAAAUAAAGAGAUAGAUGGGGGUAGUGGAAGAUUGACUUUUGAUGAGUCUUUGUCCGCCAUUAGAGAAUAAAUGCAACGAAAUAAUGUUUUUCACUUCAAUUACUAUUGGUAUUAUUAAUAAUUAGGACUUAUUUAUCAACAUCGAUCUUUCACUCAAAUUCAACAGCCAAAGUCGCCCGCGGGUUGUGCUCGGCUGAUCAAAAGCAAGUAUUAUAGUUAGGGUUUAGUCUUAGAUAUAAGUUUAAGCACCUAGAAUGUAAUAAUAGAUAACGUCUUGCACACCUACGUUCUCUGUAACUUUCUCAUUCACUUUUUCAAAAGUAAUCCAGUUUGACGAUAGAACUCAAAUUUACAAUGAAUUAUUAUUAAAUCGAUUAAAAUAACAACAACAAUUCAGAUUAGCAAAGAAGUGUUAUAGAAUAAAUAAUGCUCGUGAAGAAUUCAAUUUCAAAUAAAAGAAUUUUACAUAUUGUAUUUUAUCUUAUCUCUUUUUGUUUUUGUUUUAAUUUAAAAUAACCCUUCUAACCGUUUGUCAAUCGGUUAUAUAAUUUUAAAAAUAAUUAAAAUUUUUAUUAAUAAAAAUAAUGUGAUUAAAUCUAAUAGUUUAUAUUUCUGACAUUAUUGAUACUGUAAAAAAAAUUACAGCAUUAUAUAGGGACCACAGAACUAUUGUUUUCUGCUUAAAAAUUUCGCAAAAAAAUUAGCGAACCCACAAUAGAGAGAUUUAUGUAUCUUACAUAUUUCUUUAGUUAUCAUAUAUCAAAUUCAUGAUUAUGUUAUUUUCUUGAAAAUUAUCGUUCAAAAUUAUUAUGUUCCAUAGCAGAUGUCCCGGAUAGACUUAUAAAGUAAUUCAAUUUGAAUGCUACAAAAAGAUCACAAGCCAAAUAUUUAUAUGUAAUCAAGAUUAUCUUAAGUGUGAUUACGUAUAUAAUUACUCCUUUUGAGAAUCUAUAAUUGGUCCAAUUGGUCUUGCAUGCACUUAAUUUAGAGGGAAUUAAUAUUUUAUAUGCAAUCAUAAUCUAGAUAAACUCACUAUGGGUUCAAUUGAAUAGUGAUCUGUCAAUCCACAUCUACUUUGUGACUGGAUCAACCGACCCAAUCGAUCAAGCCACGCUAGGACCAAUAUUUGACUCUAGGUUAAUGGAUCAACUAUGAACUGAGAUUAUCAAUCAAGACACCGAAUUCCUACUAGCCCAAACCAAUAAGAGUAAUAAUAUAAUUAUAAAUUCUUGUACAUAUUUUCUUUGUACAAACUGAUGCAGUAUGAUUAAAUUAGUUGAAUUAAAUAUUUCUUAAUCCAUAUAAUUUGUUCUUAUUAUUUUGUAUUUUUAAUUCAACCAAAUGAUUUAAUACCAAAUCACUUUGUACAACGUAAGUUUAUAUAAGAGUUUGUGAAUGUAUUGUCACUCAACCAUAAUGCCUCCUAUGUCGAUACGAUAGUAAGCGCCUUUCUGGUAUGUUUUAUCUAAUGAGUUAUAAAUGUUUAUUCAAUCUCAUAAGCUCUCUCAAAUUUUUUUUAAUGUUGUUCAUUGUUUUCUAAGUAGAGUUUUUGAAGAUUAAAUAAGUUAUUUUAUUUUUACUAGUAAAAGCUCAAAUUUUGGUCUUUUAGGAGUAGAAGUUGAAAAGUUUUUAAAAAAUAUUAAAAUAUCUAAAAUAUCCUUUACUUAUUUCAUAAUCUUAUUUGAUUCCUUUCAUAACAAGACGUUAAAUAAUUUACAUAUUAAAUUAAUUUUACAAUUAUUAAUAAAAAAUCUCAUUGACAACUAAACAACUAAUUUUUUUUUUUUGUGAUAAAAUCUUUACUUAUAAAAGUUCUACUAAUAAAAGCUCUACUUAAAAAAACUAUAUUUUAAAAGUUAUACUAAACAGAGCCUCAAACUCCGUUUAAGGCAUAUAGCAAAAUCCACAGUGACAAUUCAAGACAAAGUGGCAUUAAGAUAUGUUAUGUGAAAUAAUUGGUUAUUUAUGGAGUAAUCACAAUUCUUUGUGUGAUGAUAUAAAAAAAUUUAGCAGACUCCUUUAGUAACUAAAUGCAUUGCUAGGGUUGGGACUUCCAGCGCUAGUGCCAUCUUAAUUAUCACCAAUGAUCGAGCCUAACCCAAUACUUUAAACAUUAAGAUCUUAGAUUCAAUGAGUAGAUUUCAAGAUACAUUCUAUGGUAUACAUGUGCUUCAUAGAAAAUAUAAAAAAUAGUUACGUUAUAAAAUAUAUCAUCAAAUUUAUAAGAGUUUAGAUCAUUAGAAGAUUUAUUUUCUUAUUCAAUUAAUCAUAUAGAUUCAUUUGAUUUUGAAAAAAGUUACAUGGACACUUUUAAAAAAUGCUUACAUACUUACAUAGACGACACUAUUCAAUGAACCAAAAGGGAUUGUAUAACAAAAUAGACACGCAAGGGACAUCUUAUAUUGUAUAACCAAAUUUUUAUUACAUAUGAUUGAUAUACAUAGAAAAAAUUAGUUUCACAACUUUAAUUGCCUUAAACUGCUUACAUAGACGACACUAUUCAAUGAACCAAAAGCGAUUGUAUAACAAAAUAGACACGCAAGGAACAUCUUAUACUGUAUAAUCAAAUUUUUAUUACAUAUGAUUGAUAUACAUAGAAAAAACUAGUUUCACAACUUUAAUUGCCUUAAACUGGAUCUAUACAUUUCUUCUGAAUUAGUCCCACAAAAAAUCAUCAACCCGUCGAGGUUAUCUUAUCUAAACCUCUUUAAUUUUUCAUUUUCUGGUCAAAUGCCAUCAUAAAUAUUAGAGCUCUCACCAAUUUAGUGUCCCUUAAAUUACUAGGAAAUUUAGAUCUUCAACUCUCAAGAAGCCAAGUCUCGGAAAUCUAGUUGAAAAUUGCUAACCAUCCUAAACGCACUUGAUCUUGGUGGUGACUGUGACAACUGAUUCUUUAAUACAUCAUAACUUAACAAAUCUAUCUUCUUUGACAUUUUUAUCUCUCUCAAACAGCGAGCCAAGUUGCAGAUCAUCAAUUGCAGCUAUGGCCAAGCCAGUUUCUAGUACUUUUAACAAGAGGUUUGAGAUGAGGCACAUGUGGUGUUGUUAGAACAAAGCCAAGGCAUCUUUUUGUUGUUGAUCCUACCAGGCAAUGAGGCAAUUCUUUCACCGAAAACACAGAUGAUUCCUAACUUCCAGGUGAAUAUUUUCUAUGCACUACUACUUACAGUACAAAAUCUGUAGGAAUGACAAUGGGACCGGCUGGGGGUGGGGAGGCCUACCCCAUUUUCUACUUUAUUAAAAAUUUUAUUUUUAUUUCUCAUCCUAUUUCAUAAUAAAUUUAAUAAGGGUGGGGAUGGAGAAUCCCCACGUGAAGAAUAAUUUCUCCAUCCCCACUCUAUUCUUCAUUUAUUUUUACUUUAUAAUAAAUAUAAAUCUAUAAUUUUAAUAAAUUAAAAAUUAAAAAUCGGACUCACCGGUCCUACUGAAGUGGUGGGACUAACUUAUAGAAAUUUUCCUGGAACAUGGCACGCUCAUGUGGCAAAACAUGACACGAAUCAAUUGGCAAACACCACCAAAUCAGCGGGUGAUGUGGUGGUAUUGGCACCACAGUCAUUAUAUUUAUCUCUACCAACGUGUCGCCACCAGAAUGGAAAGAAUGCCAGGAAUACCGACAAAUAUUCCAUCAUUUAUGUACAAGCAAACACUUUAUUUACUCAACACUCCUGUUUUGACUCGGUCACUCCCAACUGAACAUGUCGCUAUGUACGGACACUUUCAUCGGACCUGGUCAAUAGCCGAUUGCAAUGAGAAGAAAGCUACUACUCCUCUCAAUCUUAUCAUAACAGCUGAAUAACAAAACAAAUUGAAAUGUUUUUCAAUUCGGAAGAUUUCGAUGUGCAGCCAUGGAGAUCUGUACAUCCCUCGGAGGAAGCCUUGAAAAGAUGGAGAUCUGCCUGCGCUAUCGUCAAGAACCGCCGUAGAAGGUUCUGUAUGGUCACCAAUCUCGCUAACCUUGCCGAGGCCAGGGAUCACAAGCUCAAGAUACAGGUCCUAUUGUACUCACUACUUUCAUUCCUCUUAUUUUUCAUUGUUGAAACAGUUUUGUUUUGAUCUGAGGGUUAGUUCAACUCUUAUAUAUUCUUUAACUGUAUAAUGAGGCUUACAAAUUUCAGAUAAAGUUUUUUUUUUUUUUUUUAUCCCGGAUGGUGUGACUUUAUCUUAUAUGAUCAUGUGAUGAUUAGUUAGUAACGUUGUCACUUCUCAUCCGAAUGAUGAUUUUGUAUUGGUUGUGUAACAGUAUCACUACCCUUUUGUGAAAUUGGUGUAAUGUAAAGAGUUUCAGUACCUUAAGAAUUUUGAAUCCAUCGUGAACUGGAUGUGGACUGAUAAAUGGUGCAAAAUGAUUUUGAUAUUAAAUUUAGUAUACCCAUCUCAAGGCUGUCUGUAGCGUUACUGGAAAAAAUAAGGGUUGCACUUUAUGUUCAAAGAGCUGCUUUGCAGUUUAUUGAUGCGGCACCAAGUGAAUACAUUGCGACCCAUGUUCCACAUUAUUUUCAAAAAGCUGCACUUGAUUUUACUAGAUCACUUAACGAUGUGCCAUCAAGUGAAUACCACGCCAAAGCUAGAAGAUUUCGAGAAUUUGUUGAUGACAUAGGAUCCGCUAUCAAAGGCCAUGAUUUAAAGAUACUGAAACAUACAUAUGUGGUGUUUUCCCUCCGUGUAGGGAAUAUAUUAACUUAUCCUGUAUUGAGGGCAACAUCCUUUGGGGUAUAUCUACUCAGUCUUCUUGUGUUGGGAGCAUUUUCAUCUGUGUGGAGUAUUUUCAGUAAAUUUCAAUAUUAUAUGUCAUUACGUAAAUACAUUGUGACCGAGGCUGCCAAAGUUAGAAGAAUUCAAAAUUGUGUUGAUGGGGUAGAAUACGUUCCACAUAAUGAUGAUGAUGAUGAUGAUGAUGAUUCUUAAGAUCAUCCAAUUAGCGUAAUUAUGGAACCAGUUUAUAAUGUCUCUCCGAAUGGGAAAUUUAGAAGAAGAAUAAUAAUGUCAUGGCAAAAGGGUGAGCCUUUGGGAAGUGGGUCAUUUGGGUCUGUAUAUGAAGGUCUCACUGAGUAAGUGAAAUCUGUUCCUGUGUUAAUGUACUUGGAACUAGUGAAAAGGAGUUUUAUUGUUCUGGUUGUAUUUCAAUAUCCAUUUGGUUACAUAGCCUUAUUGAUAUGCACCUGCUGAAGGUUUUUAAUAAGUUAAAAGGAUGUACAAUGUCGGACUAGAAGGAAGUUUCUAGGAACUUAUUGAAUACUUUUUCUGCUUUCUGAACGAUACUACAGGAAAGGUGAAAGACUUUAUGAUGAGAACUCAAUGGGGUUUUGGGUAUGCUACUUGUAAAUCUACUCAUCUUAUUUCUCAAGAUAAUCAUGCAAGACGAAUUCAAUUUCGUUUUUGAGGCAGGGAAAUUUGAUGACGAGCUAGACUGGAUGUUCUUUUGCACAUUCUUACUUGAAACAAGGAUGAUCAAGAAAUUGGGUCGGAGAAAACCUUGAGAAGAUGGAGAUCUGCCUGCAAUGGCCGUAGAAGCUUCCAUAAGCUCACUGGUCUCGACGAGCAUAUCAAAUUACAGGUGAAUUAUUCAUUUUAUUUCCUUAUUUUUUAAUUAUUAGUCAACUUAUGAUUCAAGUUAAUUUGGGUUAGCUUUAUUGAUUUAUUUUAAUUAUAUAAGUAAUUUUUGUAUUUAGUUAUUUAGUUCUUUGCCUAAUUUCGUUGAGGUUAAUGCCUAAUGGGAAACUUUUAAAAUCAACAAUCAAGAAUUUAAAUGCAGAGUCAAGAGUAAAGGUGAAUAGUACUGAAUGAUUGAAUUUGCAAUACCAAACUAAAGGCUUUCUGUGUGUUAUAGGAACAAGUUAAGAGUUUUCUAUAUAUGCUGUUCAAAAGCUGUGCUUCACUUUACUGAAAAUGUGAGUCUGCAGUCAAAUGAAGAUGUGCCAUCAAGUGAAUACAUUGUGAACGAGGCUGACACCAAAGCUAGAAGAUUUCAAGAACCCAUUGAUGAUGUUGGAUCCACAAUCAGUGACCUUGAUGUAAUGAUAAUUGAUACUGAAACUUUUGUAGCCUCACUUAAAAUUGAAUUUAGGAUACCGAACUAAAUGCCGUCUGUGUGUUACAGGAACAAGUUACAGUUUCACCUGUCGUUCUAAAAGCAGUACUUCACUGUACAGAAAAUCUGAGUCUGCGUUCAAAUGAAGAUGUGCCAUCAAGUGAAUAUGUUGUGACCGAGGCUGCCAACGAAGGCAGAAUAUUUCAAGAACCCGUUGAUGAUGUUGGAUCCACCGUCAAUGGCCUUGAGGUAAUGAUAAUUUAUACUGAAACUUCUAUUCCUCACUUCAAUUUUCAAAUAUCAAAAUAUGCUCUUUUGAUAUUUGAAAACGCAUAUUUUGAUAUUUGAAAAUCUGAAAAUCGCUCAAGUAUCCAUUUUCCUGUUUGGAUUUGGAUACAUCGAGAUAAGAACAUUAAAGUUUUGCAUACAAUUGGCCUCCAAUUUCUGAGCUUAAAAUUUUUAACCUAAUGAAUGACGGUACAAUUUCAUUGAUUGAGAUGUAUAAAUGCAUUCCUUGUAUUUUACAGAUUUGUGAGCUACUUGGUAAAUAUAAGAAACGUGCACUUGCUGUGUUUUAUCUUGUGUUGGAAGCGGCAUCGUUUUUACUGGAUAUUUUUGGGAAAAGUAAGAGGAGCAUCCUUCUUGCCGCAUUUCUAUUGUCAGCAUCUGGUUUUGCUAUUACUCUGAGUAUGCAUUUUUGGACCGUGACAAGAACCAUAGCUGCAACCGGAAUGUAUUUACAGAAGCGACUACUUAUGGUGUUGGAAAUAUCUUUCUCUUUGGUCCAGGUGAUUGUUACACUCAUUUAUUUUAUUCUAGCGGAAUUGGGUGUCAAGAACAAUUUCAAUACAUCUGUUUUCCCACUGGUCUUUGCUAUAAUUGCUGCUGUGUUUACUUUCAAAUAUGAUGGGGAAGUUUCUGAUUCAUCAGGCCUCGAUAGUGCUCUUGUGGCCCUGGCUGCUGGUAAUCAGGUAUGAUUGUGAGCACAAUUGUAAUCAUCAAGCUGCACUUGGUGAAUUCGCAUAACUUAUCACCUCUAUGACUAUGAAUUCCUACAAAUACAAAGAAAACUGCAUUAGACUGUAAGCUUUUGCGAUACUGUGGAAAGAAGGAAAUAUAAUUAUUGUGAGAUUGCAUUGUGUAAGUCAAUAAUUUAGUCAUAUGAGGUCUAUAAAAGAUUGCUUUAAUAAUUUGUUUGUAGAAUGCUAGGGUGCCUCUGUAGAUUUAGAAAUCCUCUAUGUAAUAAGUGAUUGUUACAGCAGUGUGGCCAAAUCAGUACAGAUAUCAAUUCUUUGAUAGUUUGCACCUUUUUAGGUUCAUAUCCCAAAUAUUACUGGCAAUGAGGAUCCAGAAGCAAACGGCAGCAUGCCUAUGUUGGCAGACUUCCGAUGAUUAAUGAAGAUGAUUCUGAGAAACAAGGUCCAUAUGCUUGUUCUUCACCCUGCCUUCAGGCUUGCUCUUUCUCUCAUACGAAUUACACAAACUCUGUUUUCAGUACCAAAAGCUUUAUAUAUGUUAAUAGAUGAGUUUGUGAGUAAUGUUUCAGUGGUUUAUUUUAGGAGACUCACAAUUGAUUUUUGUUUCAUGUUUAGGGCAUAGAGGAGGCAUUUGACCCCAUUUGCUCAUUUGAUUCAGAUUCAAGUUUUGGUCUUAGGUGUUACAAUUUCAAUUACUUUGUAUUCAAGUUGGAUAAAUAUCUGUAAUUUGGAUUAUAACUACUCAAGAUGUAUGUGUAUUAUCUUAUCUGAGUUGACUUUUUAUUUAUAGAGCUCUUUGAGGGGGUUAAAUGAUGGUGUUAAGUCUUCUGGUGUUAAGUUAUUUGAGAUUCUUGAAAUUCAUGAAACUUGUAUUACGCCAAAUAGAAUAAAUGAAGCACCCAACAAACUUUUGAUGUGCCAAUUAAUUAUUAAUCGGCAUGGUCAAUUGUCUUGGGUAAAGGUACUGUAUGAUAUGAAUCUUUUCAAAAAGUCAUUUUAGUAUUAUCAUAAUCAUUAUUAUUAUUUAACAUAAAGAUUUUUUUUUAUUAUUAUUAUUAAUAAUUUAAAAGCAUUGAUAGUGGGGCAAUUAUAGACCCAUUAGAUUUGUAUGUUUUAAUAAAAAUCAUCCAACUUCCUGUUGAUCAAAUUCACUGCAAAAUUAGCUUUUUCCUGCUGCAUAGCAGUUUUUUUUUUUUAGUGGUAAAAAAGCCUGGGCUGGUCCAGGCCCGUGGGCUUAAAGUCCGGCCCUCAAGGAGUGGGCCUGAAUACCCAAAAAUUACAAAGUCCACAUAUAUUGGGCUUGGAUAAGGACUUAGCAAAAAAAACUCGGACUUGGCCCAGGCUUUUUAAAUUUAUGAAUAAAAAAUAAAUUUAAUUUAAAUAAAAAAGAAAAAAUUUAAAAUAUUAAUUUAGUUUAAUUUUUUAUAUUAGUAUUUAUUAUUUUAUUAGGUUGUAUUACUAAUAUUUUAUUUAUUGAACUAUUAUUCUAUUAUAUAUUAAAUGAUUUUCUUUAAUUUAAAUUUUUUCUUAUUUUAUAAUUAAUUUAAAAAGCCUAAACCCUGCCCGAAUUUGAACGGGCUUUGUAAGGACCUGGAUUUUGUUUGAAUGAUGUAGGCUUGGGACUGAGCUUCUAAAAACCUGGUCCAAAGCCCUCAAAUUACCAUCCCUAAUUUUUUUACCAGAACUUUUGCAUAUAAUUACUCAUAUUGAGAAUCUAUAAGUCUUGCGUGCACUUAAUUUGGAGGGCAUUAAUAUUUUAUAUGCAAUCAUAAUCCUUAUAAACUCACCAUGGGUUAAAUUGAAAAGUGAUAUGUUAAUCCAUGUCUGCUUUGUAACUGGAUGAACCGACCCAAUCCAUCGAGCCCCUCCAGGACCAUUAUUUGACUCUAGGUUAAUGGAUCAACCAUGAACUAAGAAUAUCAAUCAAGACACCCAAUUGCUACUAGCCCAAACCAAUAAUGGCCCCUAUAUUGAUAUAAUAGUAAGUGUCUGUUGAGUAUAUUUUAUCUAAUAAUUAUAAGUAUUUAUUCAAUUUCAAAAGUUUUUUUCAAAAUUUUUAUUGAUAUUUAUUUUUUUUUUAGUAGAGUUUUUGAAGACUAAAUAAGAUAUUUUGCUUCUAUUAGCAAAAACUCAAAUUUCAGUCUUUUGGAUGUAGAGAAUUUUUUUUUAAAUGUUAAAAUAUUUAAAAUAUCAUUUACUUAUUUUCAUAAUCUUAUUUGAUUUCUUUCAUAACAUGAUGUUAAAUAAUUUACUUAUUAAAUUAAUUUUACAAUUAUUAAUAAAAGCUCUCAUUAAUAAUUAAAGAACUAAAUUUUUUUUUAAAAACUCCACUUAUAAAAACUCUACUAACAAAAGUCCUAGUUAAAAAAGUACUAUUUGAAAAGUUAUACUAAACGAAACCUUAGACUUCAUUUAAGACAUAUAAGCCAAAUUCGUUAUGACAACUCAAGACAUACUUGCAUUAAGACAUAGUUAUGUGAAAUAAUUGGUUAUUUAUGGAGUAAUCACAAUUCUUUGUGUGGUGAUAUCAAAAAAUUUAGCAGAUUCUUUUAGUAUCUAAAGGCCUCGUAAGGGUUGGGACUUCCAACAUCAUCUUCUUUAUCACAAGUGAUCGAGCCUAACCUAAUACUUGAAACAUUAAGAUCUUAGAUUCAAUGAGUAAAAGACAAGCAUUAUAAUUUUUCAAGAUACAUUCUAUGGUAUACAUGUGCUUCAUGCAAAAAUAUCAAAAAUAGUUAAGUUAUAAAAAAUAUUAUCAUUUGAAGGUAUGUGAUACAAAUUUCUUAAAAAUUCAUAAGAGUUUAGAUUAUAAGAAGAUUUAUUUUCUUAUUAAACUAAUUACAUAGAUUCACUUGAUUUUGAAAGUGUUACAUGGAUACUUAGAUUCACUUGAUUUUGAAAGUGUUACAUGGAUACUUAAAAAAGAAAAAAAAAUUCAUACUUACAUAAACAUUGGACACCAUUCAAUGAACUAAAAGGGAUUGUAUAGCAAAAUAGAUACACAAGGAACAUCUUAUACUGUGGAACAAAAUUUUUAUUAUAUAUGAUUCAUAGACAUAGAAAAAUUAUUUUCACAACUUUAUUUGCCUUAAAAUGAAUCCAUAGAUUUCUUCUGGAUUAGUCCCACAAAAAAUCAUAAACACGUCGAGGUUAUCUUAUCUGGACCUUUUUAAUUCUUUAUUUUCUGGUCAAAUACCAUCAUAAAUAUUAGAGCUCUCAUCAGUUUGGUGUCCCUUGAAUUAUCAGCAAAUUUAGAUCUUUAACUUUCGAGAAGUCAAGUCUUGGAAAUCUAGUUGAAAAUUGUUAACCAUCCUAAAAGCACUCGAUCUUGGUGGUGACUAUGACAUUUGAUUCUUUAAUACACCAUAACUUGGAAAAUCUAUUUUCUUAAACAUUUUUAUCUCUCUCAAACAGUAAGUCAAGUUGCAGAUCAUCAAUUGCAGCUGUGGCCAAGCCAGUUGCUAGUACUUUUAACAAGAGCUUUGAGAUGAGGCACAUGUGGUGUUGUUAGUACAAAGCCAAGACAUCUUUUUGUUGUUGAAUCUACCAAGCAAUCAGGCAAUUCUUUGACCGAAAACAGAGAUGAUUCCUAACUUCCAGGUGAAUAUUUUCAACUCGGAAGAUUUUGAUGUGCUGCACACCCAUGGAGAUCUGUACAACCAUCGGAUGAAGCCUUGAAACGAUGGAGAUCUGCCUGCGCUAUCGUCAAGAACCGCUGUAGAAGGUUCCCUUUGGUCGCCAAUCUCGCCAACCAUGCGGAGGGCAUGGAUAACAAGCGCCAAGUCCUCUUUUAGUCGCUACCUUCAUUAGUUUUUGUUUUAAACAGGGUGUUACUUCCACUCUCGUGUUUUCUUUAACUAUAUAAUGAUAGGCUUACAAAGUUUGGAUAAAAAAGUAUUUUUUAUCUCAGAUGGUGUGACUUUAUCUUAUAUGAUGAUGAUUAUUUAUUAAGCCUCGUCGCUUCUCAUCCGAAUAAUGAUUUUGCAGUGGUCGUAUAAUAGUAUCAACACCAUUUUAUUAAAUGUGUUGUAAUGUAGAGAGUUUCAGUACCUUCAGAAUUUAAAUAUAAUAUGAACUGAAUCUGGAUUGAUAAAUGGUACAUUUUGACAUUGAACUCAUUAUUCCCAAAUCAAGGCUGUCUGUUGUGUUACAGGAAAAAGUAAGAUUGCACUUUUUUUUUUCUUCUCAACUUAAUACACCAAGGUUAAGUUCUAUUUGUGAUUGAGAUGCUGUAAUUUUUAAGCUACAGUUGUUGUGAAAAAAAGUUUAAUUAUGAAAUAAAAGUUAAUAAUAUGUAGUAAAUAUAAAUUUUAAAUAAUAAUUUUGAAAAAAUUGUUAGAGAUAUAAUAGAUUUUUUAUUAUAUAAGUUAAAAUUCGUAUCAAUAAAAUUUCUAAGCUAUAACAACUGGUGUUUACCAAACACUUUAGUACUAUAACUUUUAAGUUACAGCUAUCCAACUUCAAUUCCAAACGGACGCUAUUAGUACAUCGGAGAGAUAGGAUUAAAAUAAUUGAAGAGAUGACCAAAGGAGAGAGAGAAGACCAACGAAAAAGAAGGGAUCCUGCCGAGCAUACCAUCUCUUUAUGACUUCAAAAGAUCUUUAUAAGGAGAUUUUCACCUCUUCCUUUCUAUUUCUAUCACAAGAGACCUAUCAUCAAGGUGGUAGUGACCACGGUCAAAUUAAAAGCAAAGGAGCUUGCUACUGUUACAUGUUAUUUAUUAUUAUUAUUUUUUUGAUGUAUUUGUAUCAUUGGAUAUGUUUGGUCCCUAUAAAAGCAAGCCAAAAGUUAACAACCGCACUUUUCAUCUACGAUAUUUUACAUAAGGUCCUCACCACCAAGCUGAUUUUGCCUCCUGCUAUUGCACAAAAAUUCUUGCAUCAACAAACAAGAUUCUAUAGGUUGUACAUAUUAUACAUAGAAAAUGUUAAAAAUUCUUUGAGAAAAUGGAGACACUUCAAAUACUUUAGGUAAAACACUAUAUUAUCUAUUGCAUGCACGCAUGCAUGCACACAACAUAAAAAGAACUCAUUCUAUAAUGAUUGCAAUAAAUUUUAAAAAUUAGGGUCUCUAAAUGAUUGUGAAGAAAAAAAAAAAAAUAGAUCAGUCCUACCGCUUCAACUUCCUGAGAUAGUAAAUUAAUUAUUGAUGCUUUGUCAUUUAAUAGAGUAGUGGGUUCUAUCAAUUUUUAAUAUUAAAUAUUGAUGGUUCUAAGUUCGAACCAACUUGUGAUCGCUCAAUAACACUCACUUGAUACCAUAAGCGGACCCACUGAAGUGGUAGGAUUAACUGAUAGAAGUUUUUCUGGAAUUGCUAUGCUCAUGUUGCACCACAUGCCACGAAGCAAUUGCCACACACCACCAACUCAGCGGGUGAUGUGGGGGCACUGGCACUACAGGAUUAUGUUGUCUCUGCCAACGUGUCGCCACCAGAAUGCAGAGAAUAGGAGGAAUACCAACAAAUAUUCCAUCAUUUAUGUACAAGCAAAUACCAUAGUUAUUCAACACUCCUGUUUUGAAUAAAUGGAAGAUAAAUCCCUCACAUGUGGAUCCCACUUAACCCCACAGCCAGUAGAGAGGGCUAUGCCUUGCAUAACAGCUCCGCCUUAUCAUAACAGCUGAAUAACAAAACAAAUUGAAAUGUUUUUCAAUUCGGGAAUUUUGACGUGGAUCCACUGACAAAUGAAAUUGAAAUGUCUUUCAAUUCGGAAGAUUUUGAUGUGCAGCCACGGAGACCCAUACUACUGUCGGAGGAACUCGAGAAACGAUGGAGAUCUGCCUGCGCUAUCGUCAACAACCGCCGUAGAAGGUUCCGUAUGGUCGCCAAUCUGGCCAACCAUGGCGAGGCCAGGAAAAACAAGCUCGAGAGACAGGUCCUAUUUUACUCACUACUUGCAUUCCUUUAUUAUUUUUCAUUGUUGAAACAGUUUUGUUUUGAGCACAGGGUUAGUUCAACUCUUAUAUUUUCGUUAGUUCAACUCUUAUAUUUUCUUUAACUGUGUAAUGAGGCUUACAAAUUUCAGAUAAAGUUUUUUUUUUUUUUUUUGAAAUCCCGGAUGGUGUGUCUUUAUCUUAUAUGAUCAUGUGAUGAUUAGUUAUUAACGUUGUCACUUCUGACCCUGAAUGAUGAUUUCGUAUUGGUUGUGUAAUAGUAUCACUACCCUUUCGUUAAAUUGGUGUAAUGUAGAGAGUUUCAGUACCUUAAGAAUUUAAAUGCAUUGUGAACUGGAUCUGGAUUGAUAAAUGGUACAAAAUGAUUUUGACAUUAAAUUUAGUAUACCCAUCUCAAGGCUGUCUGUUGUGUUACAGGAAAAACUACGGGAUUUAUUUAGGGCUAAAAGAGCUGCUUUGCUGCUUUUUGAUGUGGCACCAAGUGAAUACGUUACGACCUACAUUCCACAUGAUUUUCAAAAAGCUGCACUUGAUUUUACUAGAUCACCUGACGAUGUGCCAUCAAAUGAAUACAACACCCAAACUAGAAGAUUUCAAGAAUUUGUUGAUGACAUGGUAUCCAUAAUCAAAGGCCAUGAGUUAAAGAUAAUGAAACGUACGAAUGCAGUGUUUUCCCUCCGGGUAGGAAAUUUAUUAACUUAUACUGUAUUGAAGGCAACAUCCUUUGGGGUAUAUCUUCUCAGUCAUCUUGUGUUCAAAGCAUUUUCAUCCGUGCGGAAUAUAUUUAGUAAUCUUUUGUUGGGGGUCGCAUUUGUACGACAUAAAUUUCAAUAUUAUAUGUCAUUACGUAAAUACAUUGUGACCGAGGCUGCCAAAGUUAGAAGAAUGCAAGAUUGUCUUAAUGAUGUAGAAUACGUUUCACAUGAUCAUGAUGAUGACGACAACGACAACGACGACGACGACGACGACGAUUUUAAAGAUCAUCCAAUUAGUCCAUAUUCUGAAAGUGGUUAGGAUUAUGUCUGUGUGGUCAGACUUACAAUGAUUAACUUGGCCUUGUUUACCAUCUUUGAUGUGCAUGUUUAUGUGCAAACGUCCAUGAGCAUAUACUUUUUUUUUUUUUUUUUUUUGGGGAACUUCUCUUAUGCUUUCUGGUUUGUUUGUAGUGAUGGAUUAUUUUUUGCUGUGAAGGAGGUUUCUUUGCAGGAUCAAGGAGCUCAGGGAAAGCAGAGCAUUCUUCAACUUGAGCAGGUGGGAUGAUUAGUCUUGUCCUGCUGGAACUCCAUUACAUAUUAUUCUGUAGUCUUUUUCUCUGCUUUAAAUUACAAAUCAUGCAGUUGCAUAUUUUUAUUCUGCCUCUAAAUAGCUACAUUUUUUUCUAUUAAUUUGUUUAUUGGCUCAGGAAAUUUCUCUUUUGAGUCGGUUUGAACAUGACAACAUAGUUCAAUAUCUUGGCACAGACAAGGUAUGCAUCUAUCCUCGGUGCUUCCUUUUUUUUUUUUUUUAACCUUUCAUUUCCUCAUAGUAUUAUUUAUGAAGUGAGAGCCAUAACUGUGUGCUUGUAAUGAAAUUUAUAGACCCCUAACAUCUAUGAUUUUGCUUGAAUUUGAAGCACUGUGUAUUUUAUAAUUCUUGUUAUUAACUUUAGCACUAUUUGAAUUUUUCUUUCUUUUUCUUUUAAGUGAAAUUAUACUGUCACUGUCCUUAUCAUUAACAUAACCAAUUGAAUUAAGUAGUCAUGCUUGACAGGAUAUACUUGAGAAUCAAAUUUUUACGCUACAAUUAAAUCGCCAAUGUUUCCAAACUAUCUAUAUACCUGCGCAGGACUCUAUUAUUGCUAGCUUUAAUUUAUUCCAGCUAUAUUUAGUUGUGCAAUCCUUUAUUAUCUGGCAUCCCAAUAUAUAUAAACCUAUCUCAUUUGUUAAAGUACAUAAAAGAACAAGGAACUUCCCAUUAAUCCUAAAUUUGAAGAAACAUGCAGCCCUGUUGCACACUUUGUGUGGCAUAUUAACUAAUUGUUUGGAUUUCUAUGGAAUUUGUCUCUGUUAUAUUAAAUUGUCCUUUUAUAUCUGGUUGUUUAGGUGUGCUUCUUUCAUUUCUGGCUCUUUAAUUCUAAGUCAACAAAUGAUUUCAGGAUGAAAUAGGCUUUAUAUCUUCCUUGAGCUUGUAAGAAAGGGUUCACUUGCAAAUCUUUAUCAAAGGUACCACUUGAGGGAUUCUCAAGUCUCUUCAUACACAAGGCAGAUCCUGAAUGGCUUAAUAUAUCUUCACGACCAGAAUGUGGUUCACAGGUGAUAUAAUUAAUUUGGCUGCUAUAUUCUCUGUUCCUUUUCCUUAUCAUGAUGUGUCCUCUCAAUAUUCUACAUUUUAUGUCAAGAUGUUUCAGUGCAAAUAGUUGUAGCAUUCAUGAUUGUUAAUGCAGGUAGGAAAUCAGUUCUUUCCCUUGCUGUUUGCCUGCAAUAUGUGAUUAUUUAUACAUUUGUUUUCUUUCCAAAAAUGCAGCUUUUUGGAGCUCAAUUUUUAAAACUAGACUACAAACAUGCAUAUUAUUAAGCAUUUUUAUUGCUGAGACUUCGUUUAUAACUUCCUGAUAGUAUUAGACAUGAGAUUUUGUAGAGGAAAGAUUGAUAAAAUCGGUAGAAGCAAAGAGAAAAAGGUAAAAGAGUAUAGAAAUAAUGAAAGAGCAUUUAAUGUGGUAGGAUGUUUUGUAAACAGCUAACCAUGUCGAAUAUGCAUUUUGAAGAAAAAAUUGCAAUCAUCACCAUUUGCUGAUAGUUUUAAUCCCUCACAAGGACAAUUACAUUCUCAGUUGCUGCAAAUCAUGGAUAUUGUUUCCAAUCAAGGUUACACAGAAGAUAGCAAUAAUGGAGGUUGUUAUUUGGAAUUGACGGAAAGUCUGCUUAACUGUUAUCAUCUUGCAAGUGUUAAUCAUAACUUAGCAGCUACAAAGUUUCAACAGAAUAAUAAUCUGAUAUCUUCUUAGUGCAUGUACUGGGGAUCGAUUUAGAGACAAGGUGAAUCUCAGUUGAUGAGAGUAAGAAAUUCUUCUCUCAGCAAAAUGUUAUAAAAAUGCUCAUUCAGAUAGCUCACUGAUUGUUUACAGACUUGUGAAAAUUGUUAGGAAGCGUGUGGAGAUGAAUAAAUAGCUUGUGUGAAUUACUUUUAAAAGUGAAAAAAUGAAAUCGAUUUCCAGGCCAGGUACAUAGCUGGUCUAUUUUUUGGUCUAUUAUAAUUGUGGCAGGUGAACUUGGCAACGGCACUUGAAACGUUGCUUCUGUUAUACGUAUCUCUUUUAAAAUUUGUCUCUUCUCAUUGUCAAGGGAUAUCAAAUGUGCAAAUAUAUUGGUAGAUGCUAGUGGAUCAGUAAAACUUGCGGAUUUUGGGUUGGCAAAGGUAGUUAAUCUCUCCCCUUCUUUGUAAAACUUGUGAAUGCUACUGUAUUUAAUGCAAUAUAUUUGAUCUUUUCAGGCAACUACAAUGAAUGAUGUGAAAUCCUGCAAAGCAACACCAUUCUAGAUGGCCCCUGAGGUUUCUUCUUCUGUUGUUGUCUGAUUUAUAUAGAUAAAAUCUGAUCUGUUUUCUGAAUGUCCAUCAUUUAUAACCGAAUUUGCAUGGUCUCAAGGUUCAGCUGAUCUAAUUGUUUAUAACCAUUGAUUUUUGGUCAUUGUCAAAUUUGAGAGCUCUGAAACACAUAAAAUCUGAUUUUUCUUUUUACACAGCUUAAGUGCAACUUUUUAGCUUGACAUGUUUGGCACAGUUUUUAGGAGGUUAACUUUUGAAUUUGACACUACUGUGUUUCUAUUAUUUUUUUCAUUUUUCCGUAGCUUGCCUUCUGUAUAGCUUUAAAGAUUGUAAAUCAGAUCCUCUACCUUCUUUCGUUUGAGUUUUGAAACAUUGUCUGCUCCCUUUCAUUUGAAGUUGACGAGAGAAAACCUCUCUUUAUUUCAGAUGUAGAUAACUUUAGUCCUAUAGUUGGUAUUUGUACACAUUUAUCAAAAUAUCACCCAGUACGUAGCACCAAAAACCCGGAACCUGACUUUCAGUAACGCGUAUUGACACAUACCAAAUAUGUUUGUAUUACACAUUCCAGGUUAAGAAAAUUAGUUUUGCUUUUUAGGUUGUGAAUUUAAAGAACGACGGCUAUGGGCUAACUGCUGAUAUAUGGAGCCUUGGGUGUACUGUGUUGGAGAUGAUAACCCAUCGACCUCCAUACGCUCACUUGGAAGGUGUAAGUAAAAAUUUUCAUAUAUUAAAAUUGAUUUUCUUUCCAUAAUUUUCCAUGUUUUAUUUAUAUGCCGGUUUUUUCUUGUUUGUGAUUUAUAAAAGGUUGCAUCAGUUUUGAUAUGCUGUUUAGUUAUUGCAUAGUUUUGUGUGUUGGCAGAUGCAAGCAUUAUUCAGGAUAGGCAGGGGUGAACUUCCUCCAGUUCCCAACUCAUUAUCGAGAGAUGCCCGGGAUUUUAUUCUUAAAUGCUUACAAGUUAACCCAAAUGAUCGGCCUACUGCAGCUCAACUAAUGGAGCAUCCAUUUGUAAAGAGGCCACUGCAAAUUUCUAGGUAACUUCCUUCUCCUCAUUAUAACAUCAUACAGUCUUGAAAGUUUCUGGUCAUCCUUUGGGGUUUAUGUAUAUCUUAGAGGUAGUCUAGCAGCAUCACCAAAUUAAACAAUUAACUGCAACCUGUAGUUCUAGGUUUGAUUUCUUGUUUGGACUUAAUAUCAUGGACAUACCGAAAAUAAUUGUUAAAUACAUUUACAAAAUAUCCAUUUGGGUUUGCAACUUCACUGUAAAGCUUAUGGGGAGAGGAGCAAGAUUCUGAUGCAUCCAGUGGCUGCCUUGGCGAUCCCAAUUCACAAUAUGAAGGGAAUGAACAAGUGCCUCUAGAUGUUUUAAUGCAACUCCUUCCUGUUGAUAACUGGACAAACCUUGAGAGAUUCGCAUUAGAUCUGGCCACUUUGCUUUUUAUACUGGUUUGCUUUGAGGUUAACCUACAUGUUGACAUGGUUGUUGUGUCGUUUGGUUCUAUAUCCAUUAGGAAUAAUUCUUUUAGAGCUUGUGUUAUCUGUUCUUUAUUUUUUAAGUGUGGACUGGAGUGAAAUGAAUUCAAAACUAAAAGCUCCAAAACGGUAGCGUUUUGAGUAAGUGGUGUUUUUACUCGUAGAUCACGUGCAAUCGCGUGUCGUUUGUCUUAAGGACAAAACGGCGUUGUUUUCAGUCGUUUUGGGCAAACUUAAGUGCAGCACGUGAGACAGCAUGUGAGGAAGGAAUCAAAUUCGUUAUAAAGCCGUUACACACGUGUCCAAAGGCUGUACAAUCUGGGUUUUCAUAACAGGAUAUAUAGAGGCUGAUUGUUGAAACAGAUUGUGUGUGAUUUUGUGAGCUUUCCAGAGAAUUCAAAGAAAUUGAGAGAGAUUAAUCUUGUUCCUUGUACCUUUCUCUGUAUUAUCUCUGUAAAAUCCAUUUCGAAUCAUCAAUUAAGCUUUUUCUGUGGCUUCUCCUUCUCCUGUAGAUGUAGAUUGUGCAUUUUAUGCAUAAUCGAACCACGUUAAAAUGAAAUAUCAUUUUCUAAACAAUGGUGAAAAUAUCAGCAUCUGAAAAUGAAAAUGGAGUAAUAAACAAUGGUUUUUUUUUUAAAUAAUAAUUGAGAAUGAAAAUAGUGUUUUUAAAACAGUAAUUUUAAAAAUGGAAAGGAAAAUGUCUUGGUAGCAUUUUUUAAAAUUAAAUUUUCUAAAACAGAAAAAUAGAAAAUGUAGAAAUAGUAGUAAAUUUCUACUAUUUGGGAUUGGUAGAUGAAGAAAAGCGGAGAGAUUUGGCCGCAAUUGGAAACAAUUAAUUGUUAAAAUGCAUCGUAAAAUUAAAUAAAUUUAAUUUUUUAUAAUAUUUUUUAUAACAGGAUAAAUUAAGUGAAUGAUUAAUAAUUUUCCUAAUAAUGAAAUAUGAAUAGAAACCUAAAGGAAUUUAAAUUACAUGAUAAAAGGCUAUUUUAUAAGGUAAAAGGAAUUUACUAAAAUGUAGCUUCUCUAAACAACUCCUCCUUGGCCGCUGUUGAGAUGAUAAUUUCAAAUUAAAACUUUCAUCCAUGAAUGCUCAUAAACUUUUGUGCGUUUGGAAGUGGAAGAAGGCGCAAACUGGAAAGCUAGUGUUUUGGUCUUUUUGGAGAAGUUAAGGGCAAUUAAGUAACAAAACAAAGGAUUAUGCUAGCAUUUUGAAUGUAAUUUCAAUGAAAAUGGUGGGUAAAAAAUGUAACUAAAUAUUUUAUUGAUAAUGAGAUGAAAGUUUAAUUUUUUAUGGGAAAAAAAAAAAAAGAGAGAAGAAAGUUACUUGAAGUGAUUGAACCUGCUAACAGCUUUGCAAGAAACAAUUAUUUUUUUCAGGAUCGUUUGAUCAAGUUUUAACAAGUUGCUCAAAGAGAAGACUAAAUCCAGAAAGAAUCAACUAACACAAUUUAAAACUAAGAAUCAAGAAAUCUGAAAAGAACAGAAACAAUCACAACCAACACAAAAAACGAUUACGUGGUUCAGUUGCACCAAGAAUGGCGCAACCUACAUCCACGGGGAGAAGCUUUCUUGAUAGCUUUUAUUAAACAACAAUGUAGGAUCUUUACACAGCUUACUCACGAGACUACAGAGAAUAAUUUCCACCUGUUCUCUAAUCUCUCUCUUAACUUGUUUACACACAAUUGUGAAUCAAAACUGUUACACCAGUCAGUUUUAUAGCUACCAGAGCAACGAACCAGCAACCCAAAAUGUACAGAAUGUUGACACGUAGAGUAACGGUUUUACCGAACUGGCUUAAGCUUGAUCACAUGGCCAUCACGUGCAUCACUUAAAGUUUUGUUUAAACGACAUUGGAAUACUGCCGUUUUGAGCUUUAUAUUAAUAAGCGAUCGAACUCGUGCUUUCCCCGUGACUUUAAAAUUUUUAAUGCCCAUGGGCUAUGGCACACUAAAACGCUGCCGUUUUAAGACUGAUGAGUUUGAUUCACCAGCAGGCUCCCCGUUACUUUUAUGUGAUUCGAAGAAAGAAAGAGCAACAGCGACACAUGUCAAAAUAUAAAGAGCAAAGCGAGCCAGUCUCCUAAAGGACACAAGGACAAGAGCAAAGUGUGUCAGAGUGUACGGACGCUUACUAGUAGGAAAAAAAAAGAGAAAAAAUCCAAACAGCUGAGUGGGGAAAGAAAUGGGAUGGAGAUCUGUCGUCAUUGCAAUCUUCUGCCUCGCCAGAAUCCGUAGGAUCCUCGACCUCAAGAGCUUCCGCACGAUCGCCGACCUCAUCGAGAAUGACGAGUCUGAGGCUAACGAUCCCAAAUUACUGGUCCAUAUUCCUUUUUUUUUCUUUAUUGGUUACUUAUGAUUCAAUUUAAUUUAGGUUAGCUUACGAUGAAUUCGAUUCUCUCUCGGGCUUUUCAAUCUAAUUCAAGACCCGGUCAGUAGACCCUGCAUUACCGGUGGAACUGAAUCGGUAACUCUUGAUUUGAUAUGAAACCCAAAGUUUACUUAAUGCAUCGCCAAAUUGAAUAUGAAAGUUUUGAAAUUCUAUCACGUAUUCUUUAUGCUUUUCGAAGAAGAGAUAGGAAAGAAAAAUGAAAAAAAAAAAAAAAAAUCGGAAUUCAUGUUAUUUUCCCCAAUUACUAAUUAGUAGUAAUUUAGUAUUACUUAUAUAGUUCUUUGCCUAAUUUCAUUGGGGCUAAUGCCUAAUGGGAAAUUCUUAGAAUCAACACUCAAGAAUUUUAAAUGCAGUGUGAACAGUAAAGAUUAAUAGUACGGAAUGAUUAAGAAAUGGAAUUUACAAUACCGAACUAAGGGCUGUCUGUUUGUUACAGGAAAAAGCUAGAGUUGUGUGUGUUGCUCUGAAAGCUGUACUUCACUUUACUGAAAAUUUGGAUCUGUAUCCAAUUGAAGAUGCGCCACCAAAUGCAUACAGUGUGGCUGUGCCUGUCACUGAAGAUAGAAGAUUUCGUGAACCCGCUGAUGUUGGUGGAUCCACCGUCAAUGGCCAUGUAAUGAUAAUUGAUACCGAAACUUCUAUUCCUCACUUAAUUUUGAAAAUAUGCUCUUUUGAUAUUUGAAUAUUGCUCGAGUAUCCAUUUUCCUGUUUGGAUUUGGCUAUAUCGAGGUAAGAACUAAGAAUAUCAAAGUUUUGCAUACAAUUGGCCUCGAAUCUCUGAGCUUGAAAUUUUUCACGUAAUGAAUGACUAAACAAUUUCAUUGAUUGGGAUGUCUAAUUGGAUUCUUUGUAUAUUACAGAUUUGUGAGCUAUUUGGUAAAGAUGGGAAACGUGCACUUGCUGUGUUUUAUGUUGUGUUGGAGACAGCAUCAUUUUUACUGGAUAUAUUUGGGAAAAGUAAGAGGGACGUCCUUCUUGCUGCAUUUCUAUUGUCAGCAUUUGGUUUUGCUGUUAUUAUGGGUACGAAUACUUGGACCCUGAGAAGAACCAGAACUGGCACUGGAAUGGAUUCACAGAAGAAACUGCAUAUGGUGCUGGAAAUAUCUUUCUCUUUGGUUCAGUUGAUUGUUACGCUCCUUUAUUUUAUUCUGGCAGAAUUGGGUAUCAAGAACAGGUUUAAUACACCUGUUUUCCCACUAGUCUUUGCUAUAGUUGCUGCUGUGUUUACUUUCAAAUAUGAUGUGGAAGUUUCUGAUUCAUCGGCCCCAGCUGUUGAUAGUCAGGUAUGCUUGUGAACAUAAUUGUAAUAAUGAAGCUGCACUUGGUGAAGUCGCAUACUUAUCACCUCUAUGACUAUGAAUUCCUACAACUAUAAAGAAAAUUACAUGAGACGGUAAGCUUUUGCAAUAUUGUGGAAAGAAGGAAAUAUAAAGAUUGUGAGAUUGCAUUGUGUGGGUCAAUAAUUUAGUCAUAUGAGGUCUCUAAAAGAUUGCUUUAAUAAUUUGUAUGUAUAAUGCUAGGGUGCCUCUGUAGAUUUAGAAAUUCUUUAUGUAUGGCCAAAUGAGUACAGAUAUCAAAUCUUUGAUGAUCUGUGUCUUUUUAGGUUCAUAUGCCAAAUAAUACUAGCAAUGAGGAUGCAGAAACAAACGGCAGCAUGCCUAUGCUGGUGAUGGUGACCUCUCAUGACUAAUGAAGAUGAUUCUAAGAGAUGAGGUUCGUAUGUUUGUUCUUCACUCUGUCUUCAGGCUUGCUCUUUCUCUCAUUCUAUUUACACAAAUUCUCUUUUUUAAGUUUUAGUGCCGGAAAAAUUUAUAUAUGUUAAUAGAUGGGUUUGUGAGUAAUGUUUCAAGAACUUAUUUUAGGAGUCUGAGAAUUUGAUUAUUGUUUCAUGCUUAGAGUCUAGAGGAGGCAUCUGUCCCCCUUUGCUCAUUUGAUUCAGAUUUCAAGCUGACUAUAAUUAUAGGUUUCAAUUUUGAUUAUAAAAGCACAUUGGGUCCAAGUUCUGGCCAUAGGUGUAAUUCCGAUUACUCUGAAUAACUUUUGAUUUGUACAGCACGUUGAGGGGUUAAAUGAUGGUGUUAAGUUAUUGUGAUUUGUGAAAUUCAUGAAACUUGUAUUAUGCCAAUAAGAGUAAAUGAAACUGUUUUGAUUGGGUCACAAAAGAAACUUUUGAUGUGCCAAUUAAUUAUUGAUCGGCAUGGUUAAUUGUUUCGGUAACGGUACACUACGUGAUAUGAAUUUUUUAAAAAAGUGAUUUUAUUAUUAUCAUUAUUAUUACUAUUAUUUAACAUAACUGCAACUAAAUUUCCCCCAUAUUUUAUGUGCAGGGUUUGAACUCCGGAACUAUCGUUUUCCACUUCAAAAUUUUACCAACAAAUUAGAUUAGCGGCCGCCACUAUGUAGAGAUUUAUAUAACUAACGUAUUUCUGCAGUUAUCAAAUUCAUGAUUGUGUUAUUUUUCUUGGAAACUAUCCUUCAAAAUAACUGUGUUCCACGGUAUAUUUUCCCAGAUAGCUUUAUAGUCAUUCGAUCAGAAUAGUGCAUAAAGAUCAUAAGGUAGAUAUUUAUAUGUAAUCAAGAUUAUCUUAAGGUCGAUUGUGUACAUAAUUACGCCGAUUGAGAAUGUAUAAAUGGUCACAUUGGUCUUGGGGGCACAUUGGUCGUUUGUAUAUAGAUAAUGUAAAGACAAGGUGGUGUAUGAUAUUAACGAAAUGAAUUCUUGUAAUUGAAUUCUAAUUCCGUUAAUUGGAAAGUGUACUACUACAAACGGAGGCCACCCAUCUAUUUAUAACCGAAUCAAGUGGUGUGUGAUGAGUGUGCAGGUGGUGGGAAGCUCACGCAAGUGAUCGGCGUGUGAUGUAGCUUGUAGCAUGAUAUGUGAUUUUUAUCAUUUUGCUACUUAUAAUUAUUGCAGGUGCGGAUGUUUGUAUUUAUAUUUUAAAAUGUGGAUUUGUGGAUUCGGAAUUUUAUAAUAUUUUAAAUUAUUGAGAAAUUAUUUUACAAGAUUAUAAAAAACCUUUUAAAACAUUAUAAAGUUUCGAAUCUAAAUUUUUAAAAAUGUGGGUGCCCUUACUGAAGAAGGACUGUUGCUACUUAACAAACCAAUCUCUUGCUCACGCUUCUGCUCCAAUAGUACCAAGCGGUGUGAGCACUAUGUGCAGAUCAAAUAUGCCCAUCACAAGUGAUUGCAUUGAUCUGGGUGAUUUUGGUGGAUACCCGCAUAUAUAUCACAACACAUUGCUAUCUAUUAUUUGAAUAUUUUGCGUACUGUACCAAGUAAGCCAGGGAGAAUUCUGAAAUGCGAGUAAAUUUCAGUUUUGGCAGAAAUAAUUUGGGAAGCAAUCACUCUCGUUUUGAUGAUCAAGAGUAAUUCAAAGAGCUAGCCUACGAGCAGCUAGAACUCUCGUAGCCUUUUUUUUUUUUGCAACUAAUUUUAAUACUUCUUAAUUUCAACUUAUUCCUUACAUUUUUCUAUUCUUUGUUGAACAAAAACAAGAUAUUAAUUUGUUGAUCUCAUGAUUACAUGAAAAUAUAUUUACAUGGACCAAUACCUUAUACUGUAUGCUUUUUUGAAAAAAAAAUUGGUAUAUGAAUUAAAAUCCAAUAAUUAAACAAAAUUAUUAUCUUAAAAAAUGAACAUGAAAAUGCAUAAAAUAAUUUUUUAAUAAAAAUUAAUUAAUUGUUUCAUCUAGUUGAGAUUAUUUAAAAAAUCUUUCUUUUUUUUUUGUUAACUUUAUGCCUAAAUUUUCCUCUCUCUCUCUCUCUCUCUAUAUAUAUAUAUAUAUAUAGUGAUGAGAAAAUCCUCCACUAUUUGGAGUCUUAUUGGUCAUUAAUUAAUUGUUUCAUCUAGUUGAGAUUAUUUAAAAAAUCUUUCUUUUUUUUUUGUUAACUUUAUGCCUAAAUUUUCCUCUCUCUCUCUCUCUCUCUAUAUAUAUAUAUAUAUAUAGUGAUGAGAAAAUCCUCCACUAUUUGGAGUCUUAUUGGUCUCUACCCCAAAUGGAGUGAAUUCUGAAUAAUUUUUGGAGAACAGAGUAAGGAAAAAUAAUCCUCAAAUUCUUAACUGGGUGAGAUUUAGUUUUGUACUCCCCACUCCAUCCCACCUCAAUCCCCAUUAUAUAUGAACUAGAAAAUAGAACCGCGCUUCACGCGGCUUUAAAAAAAAAAUAGUAUUAUCAUUUUUUCUUACUUUACACUUGAUGAAACUAAUAAAAAAUAUGAAUUGAUUUUUUUUAAGAUGAGGCAGCCUUAUAAAAAAAUAAAAAAGCUAUUAGCCAGCAAUACAAAUGAAGAAGUAAUGCAAUAUAAAGAAUAAAAUGAGAGAAUAUAUUAUAGAGUGAUUUUAUUUAUUCUAAUUGUAUGUGUACAAAACAAAAAGAUAAGCUCUCCUUUUAUAAUUACAUAAUAACCCCAUGAAAUUAAUGUAAAAUUAUGGAUCAUAAUUCCUUGUGAGAUAGUAGGAGUUAUAAAGAAGUUAAAAGUUGCUAAUGGGCGAUAGUGGGAAUACUAAGAGAUAUAUGUUAUGAACAUCUACAUUUAUUUUAAUAAAUUUAUAACACUCCCUCUUGGAUGUUCAUUACAAGGAAUAUGUAUUAUUAAAAUCUUUACAUAAUUGUUAUUGUGUAAUAACAAUCAAAUUAAUUAUGAGAAGAUGAAAAGUCAAAUCUAAAAAAAAAAAUCUCUAUUUAUUAGAUAAUAGAGAAUAUACAAAGAUGAGAAAUGGUGAUGCCACAUCAUCUUCUCAAGUCCCAGCUUUAUAUAUAUAUAUAUAGAUAGAUAGAUAUAGAUAUAGAUAUAGAUUUGUUUUACAUUUUGUUCAAUAAUUUUUGUUUUAUCACUUAAAAUGUUGGUUAAUAAAUUUUCUUUUUAUUUUAAUCUAAUAAAAAUAGGUUACAACUAGAAGAAAAUCAUAUAUUAUAAUUCUUAUUUAAUUUUAAAAUAUUGUUUAUGUUUUAUUUUAUCUCUCAAGGUAUUGCUCUGUUCAAAUAUUUUUUAGUUUGAUAUUAUUUCAAAAUAUUGCUUAGAUUUUUUUAGAGAUUUUUUAAUAAUUUAAAUAUUUUAUAAUGUGCUAAUAAUUUAUUUAAGUUUUUAAUUUUUAAUUUAUUAAAAUAAUUUAUUUAUACUUAUUAUAAAAUAAAUAAAUAAAUAAAAAGAGAGAAUAAAUCAUUCCCACGUAGGAAUUUUCUAUCCCCACUCCCAAACAAAAUUUUAAUAGGCAAAGUCUCUCCAUCCUACCUCACCCCAUUGCCUAUAUAUAUAUACACAGUGGUUCUUUCACGUCGGACACCCGUAACUUCAAAAAUAUGCGGGCACUCACGUUUCGCCCGUUGGAUCCCAUCAACGGCUGAAUUAAGUUGUAAAGUAAAGACAACUACUGACAUUUUUUGUCUGUUAGCCCGGUCUUCAAAACUUUAAAAAAAAUUAUUUCUUUUUUUUUUUCAAUGGGACCAACUAAAAACUACUCAAUAUAAAAAUACAACAUACUAUAUAUAUAUAUUUUUUUGAAAAGUACAAUAUACUAUAUUAUUAUUAUUAUUAUUUUUCUCUUCUCCCACUUCCAUCUCCCCACACCCAAGACCCAACGAGAUUUGGCAGUACUCUCACUCACGCACAGAUGAAAAUUGAAUGUAGAUUUUUUAAAUUCCUUUCCUUUUUCUUUUGCCCCCAAAACUAACUUUCUCAAAGAUCAAUAAACAGUCAUCAUCAUCACCAUUUUUGCUUCUCCAUCUUUCCAUCAUCUAAAUUAUCCUUCCAAUCGAAGAAGAUGAAGCAAAAGAAGGAAAACACACUUCGGUAAGUUACCCAAUUAAAAAACAGACCUAACGACCCAUCUAAAUAAUCAAGCUUAAAGGUAUCUCUAUCAGAAGAUUUUCUCCAACAAAAAUAGCGGAAAUUGAAGAAGAAAAAACACAGGCCAGGACAUUCUUAAGAAACUUGAAAGUUCGUGAAAGAAGAGCAACAUGAGGCAUUUAAGCCACAGCUGAGGAAAAUUAGAAGAGUAACAUGUUGGACACGUCAUCUCCGGCCACGUUGCCGUUGAUGAUGAAGAUGAUCCAACGAUUUGGCUUCUUGGUGUGGGAAGAUGGAGUUGGGAGAGAGAGAGAAAUUUAAAACUAGUAUAUUGUGUUUUUUUAUUCACGUGGUCCCUAUUAAAUAAAAGAUAAUUUUUUUCCAAAGUUUUGAAGACGGGCCCACACGCAGAAAAUGCCAGGAAUCGCCUUUACAUCGCGACUUAAUUCAGCCGUUGAUGGGAUCCAACGGUCGAAAAGUGAGUGUCCACAUAUUUUUGAGGUUGCGGGUGUCCGCGUGAGAGAACCACUGUAUAUAAAUAUAUAUAUUGCCAAUUUAACCUAAUGUCGAUUUCUUAUUAAAUAAUUUUCAAACACGACUUGACUUAAAGACUUCUCAAGCCUCUUUGAGUCUCUCUUCCCUAGCCUUCAAGAUUAGUCAUUUUCAUGAGAACUCGUAUAUAUUCUCUGGAUUUUAUUUUAUUUUCCAAGCAAAACAAUAAUGGCUAAUUGGUUUGACAUAAGUUUAAUUCACAAUUGGUAAUUUCAUGAAAUUAGAAAUAAAUUAUAUUUUUUGUAAUAAUUUUCAAGCACAACUGUUUUAAGCUUUAACAUAAGUUUAAUUCACAAUUGGUAAUUUCAUGAAAUUAAAAAUAAAUUAUAUUUUUUGUAAUAAUCUAAUCCUCUUAAGUCUCAUCACUCACGUAAGUGAGAUCAAACCUUUAAUUUGGAUCACUCCACAAAAUUUUACCAGUUAAGUAGUAGCACUCGCUCCCAAUUAUAAAUAUUCAAUAAAUGUUUUGAUUGUAUUAAUGAAACUUAUGGUUAUAUAUAUACACGCACACAUACACACAUAGACACACGCCCACCCAUAUAAAUUGUAUAUUAUAAUGACUAUGCAUCAAGUUAUGAUGUGAUCUCAUGUAAAGGUGCCCGAAACAUUAAUACUUAAAACACAUCAAGCUCAGUAAAUGAAGACUUCAAUUUUGUUUCAUAUUGAGGUGCUAUAACUUUAAUUUACAGUUGAUAUAAAAAAAAUUGUGACUAUAAUAUAAUAUUGUUUGGUAAAUAUGAUUUAUAAUAAGAUUUUUUCACAAAGCUAAUGGAGGUGUUAGUAUAACUUUUUCUUCAAAUAACUAUGGGAUCAAUUCAAUUUGAGUUAACAACUACAAGUGUUUAUCAAAUACUUUGUUGUGGUAACAUUAAAGCCACUCAAUUGCCCCAAAACAGUACCAAACAAGCCCUUCAUUUUGCUACUACCUAUUGUGGUGCUUUAAGCCACAAUUACUAUGACAUGAAAGCUUUCACUAUAAAAUUAUGGUUUACAGUGUUUGGUAAAUACGACAUAAAUAAAUUUUUUUAUAAAAACUAGUAAGUAAUAUGAUUUUUCUUUAUACAACCAUGAGAUAAAAUUAUCUCUAACUCUCUCUUAAACUAUAAUUAUAACUAUUUACCAAAUGCUUUAAAGUUGUACUUUGAAAAUAACAAUAUCCAUUAUAAGAAAAUAAAAUACAUUUGAUAGCCUUAAAUUGUCAAAUAAGUUAAUAUUUGACAAUCAAAAAGUGUAAGGCAUUCCGGUGUCAAAUAUCAUCACAUUUUUUAAAACAGCCAAUUUACCUUUGUAAUUUAGAACCACCAAAGGUUAAUGACAAUAGAAAAUUGUCAAAUAUGUAUGAAAGUUAAUAAAUAUGAGUUGCUCAAACUUGUCUAUUACUUAUGACUACUAAAAAUGAUCAAACAUCAUUUUUUUUUAAAAGCUACAAAAAUGGUGCCCCUGAUUUGGCAUGUACAAAAGAUAUAUCACAUAAACAGAACGAAUCUCAAAAUUUUCAACUCGAUACAACACAAUAUACGAGCAAACAAAACUGAAAUUUUUGACAUGAAGUUAUACAUGUAUCAACUCUAAAUGUUUGAAACUAUUCAUUAUCUAAAUUCAGUCUUAAACUUAAAAUUAAAUCAAUACCCAUCAAUAAUUUUCAACACCAAAAAGUAAAGUCAACUCCAGCAUUCAUCUAAUUAUACAAGUCAUCCUGUAACUAUUUGUUGUGAGUGCUCUUUGAUUCUAGCUGACGAAGCUUCAGUGGUCCACUGCAAUCCUUAUUAGCCAUUCUCAAGAAAUUAGCUCAGAACAAUCAAAAUAAUUAUCAGAUUUCAAAUUAAGGUAGCCAAGGGUGAAGAAAAAGGCUGGAAGAAUGAUAAGAAUGAAGUCCUCAUAGCUUCAGUGCAGCUAGAUGCUGAUAUUUUGUGGUUUUGACCAUCUUAAGCAUGUUUGACUUUUUGGGAAUCUUAAAAUGGAGUAAUAAGAAAGCUAAUUGUGAUCUGCUAUUUGAAUAUUUUCCAUACACUGCUUCCACCUGUGCCAGGGAGAAAACUGAAAUGCUGUCACGGUGUCACCUAAGAAAUUUCUACUGGUGGAAGCAUUGUGAAUUUCAGUUUUACCAGAAAAGCAGUAACUGUGCCUCUGCUAAGCCACUCAACAAGCUUGCACGCGGUGUUUUCCAACUCAAAACUCAAGCUAGUGUUUCGUUUUCUUAUUUAUUUAUUUUUAAUUUUUUUUUUAUUGAGCGAAAAGAGUACCACUGAUUUUGCACAUAAAAUUAUAUAUAAAUUUGUACAAGAUCAGCAAUGUCAAGAUACUAAAAGACAAAUUUAUUCACGUUAUUAAUUUUAUCUUUAUAAAAUUCUACGUGCCGCCGAUAAGACAUCCUUAAAUCAAAGGAUGUUCUUCCAAAAUUGGCUGUCGAGUGUCACCACCACCCACUUCUCCGACACAUUCCGCAUUCUAUUUGUCAUGUGUAAUAAAACGAACUUUUUUUCUACAGUUACAUGAAAGAUAAGGACAAGGAGGAUUCUUUUGUUUUUUCCUCCAAGCCGAAAGCAUGGAGCAAAAGUUAUCAGUACGACAAGUCAACACUGUCUUUACUCGGAAAUAUCCAAUAAUCCAGUGUUGAGCUAAAAAAGAUGAAUAAAUAGAAAGCUGUUUGUUGUGUACAAAACAGUAAACACAGAAGAAAGAGAGAACAGAAAGAGAGAAAAAGAAAAUUUCUGAGCAGCACAACGAGAAAACAAAUGAGCGAGCUAUUGACUUCGGAGGACUUCGACGAUGCUCAGAAAAUUAGGUCGGAGAAAGCCUUGAGAAGAUGGAGAUCUGCCUGCAGCGACCUCAAGAACCGCCGUAGAGUCUUACGUAAGCUCGACGAUCUCGACGAGCAUCUCGAAUUACAAGUCAGUUAUUCCUUUUAUUUAUUUAUUUUUGAAUUAUUAGUUAACUUAUGGUUCAAGUUAAUUUGGGUUAGCUUUUUUUUUUUUUUAAUUCUAAGUAAUUUUGCAUUUACUUAUUUGGGUCUUUGCCUAAUUUCACUGGGGCUAAUGCCUAAUGGGAAAUUUUUAAAAUUAACACUCAAGAAUUUAAAUGCAGAGUGAAAGUGUAAAGAUGAAUAGUAUAAAAUGAUCAAGAAAUUGAAUUGAAGAUCCCGAAUUAAAGGCUUUCUGUGGUUACAGGAACUAUUUAGAGCUGCAUCUGUUGCUGUGAAAGCUGUACUUCACUUUACUGAAAGUCCGGGUCUGCCUUCAAAUGAAGAUGUGACUCAUGAACCCAUUGAAGGUGUUGGAUCCACCGCCAAUGGCCAUGACGUAAUGAUAUUUUAUACGAUUGUUCCCCAAUUCAAUUUUCAAAUAUCAAAUUAUGGUUCUUUGAAGUUUGUUAUUGGUUCAUAUACCAAGGUAAGAAUAUCAAAGUUUUGCCCACAAUUGGCCUCCAAUUUCUGAGCUUAAAAUUUUUCACUUAAUGAAUGACAAUGCAAUUUCAUUGAUUGAAAUGUAUACUUGCAUUCUUUUUAUACUACAGAUUUGUGAGCUACUUGGUAAAUAUGAGAAACGUGCACUUGCUGCGUUUUAUGUUCUGUUGGAAGCAGCAUCAUUCUUACUGGAUAUAUUUGGGAAAAGUAAGAGGAGCAUCCUUCUUGCUGCAUUUCUAUUGUCGGCAUCUGGUUUUGCGAUUACCAUGAGCAUGCCUACUUGUAUCAUGAGAAGAGCCAGAGCUGCAGCCAGAAUGCAUAUUCAGAAGCUGCUACUUGUGGUGUUGGAAAUUUCUUUCUCUUUGGUCCAGUUGAUUGUUACAUUCAUGUACUUUAUUCUGGCGGAAUUGGGUGUCAAGCACAAGUUUAAUGCAUCUGUUUUCCCACUAGUCUUUGCUGUAAUUGCUGGUGCGUUUACUUUCAAAUGUGAUGGAGAAGUUUCUGAUUCAUCAGGCCUUGCCAGCAGGCAUAUAUCCCCAGCUGCUGAUAAUCAGGUAUGGUUGUGAACAUAAUUGUAAUCAUCAAGCUGCACUUGGUGAAUUCGCAUACUUGUCACCUCUAUGACCAUGAACUCCUACAAAUAUAAAGUAAACUACAUGAGACGGUAAGCUUUUGCAAUAUUGUGGAAAGAAGGAAAUAUAAAGAUUGUUUGACUUCAUUGUGUUAGUUAAUAAUUUAGUCAUAUGAGGUCUCUAAAAGAUUGCUUUAUUAAUUUGCAUGUAUAAUGCUAGGGUGCCUCUGUAGAUUUAGAAAUCCUUUAUGAAUGGGCAAAUGAGUACAGAUAUCAAAUCUUUGAUAAUUUGUGUCUUUUUAGGCUCAUAUGCCAAAUAAUACUCGCAAUGAGAAUGCAGAAGCAAACGGCAGCAUGCCCAUGCCGGUGAUAGUGACCUCUCGUGACUGAUGAAGAUUAUUCUAAGAAACGAGGUUUGUAUGUUUGUUCUUCACUCUGCCUUCAGGCAUGCUCUUUCUCUCAUACUAUUUACACAAAUUCUCUUUUUAAGUUUUACUACCGAAAAAUUUAUAUAUUGUUAAUAGAUGGGUUUGUUUGUAAUGUUUCCAGAGCUUAUUUUAGGAGUCUGACAUUUGAUUAUUGUUUCAAGCUUAGAGUCUAGACGAGGCAUUUGCCCCCAUUUGCUCAUUUGAUUCAGAUUCAAGUUGACUAUAAUUAAAGCACAUUGGGUCCAAGUUUUGGCCAUAAGUGUUACAAUUAAUUUCAAUUACUAUGUAGUCCAGCUGGAUGAAUAUUUAUAAUUUGGAUUAUAACCACCCAAUAUAUAUUAUUAUAUCUGAAUAACUUUUUAUUUAUAGAGCACGUUGAGGGGUUAAAUGAUGGUGAUAAGUUUUUUGUGAUUCCUGAAAUUCUUGAUACUUGUAUUAUGCCAAUAAGAAUAAAUGAAACUGUUUUGAUUGGGUCACACAAGAAACUUUUGAUGUGCCAAUUAAUUAUUGAUCGGCAUGGUUAAUUGUUUUUGUAACGGUACACUACGUGAUAUGAAUUUUUUUAAAAAGUGAUUUUAUUAUUAUCAUUAUUAUCAUUAUUUUUACUAUUAUUUAACACAACUGCAACUAAAUUUCCUCCACAUUUUAUGUGCAGGGUUUCAGCUCCAGAACUAUCGUUUUCCACUUCAAAAUUUUACAACAAAUUAGAUUAGCGGCCCCAACGAUGUAGAGAUUUAUAUAACUAACAUAUUUCUGCAGUUAUCAAAUUCAUGAUUGUGUUAUUUUUCUUGGAAAUUAUCCUUCAAAAUAACUGUGUUCCACAGUAUAUUUUCCCAGAUAGCUUUAUAGUCAUUCGAUCAGAAAAGUGCAUAAAUAUCAUAAGCUAGAUAUUUAUAUGUAAUCAAGAUUAUCUUAAGGUCGAUUAUGUAUAUAAUUACUCCGAUUGAGAAUGUAUAAAUGGUCACAUUGGUCUUGCGUGCACUUAAUUUUAAGGGCAUUAAAAUUUUGUAUGUAAUCAUAAUCCUAAUGAACUCACUAUGGGUUUCAUUGAAUAGUGAUCUGUUAAUCCACAUCUGCUUUAUGACUGGAUCAAGAAAUCCAAUCGAUCCAGCCACUCCAGGAGCAAUAUUUGACCCUAGGUUUAUGGAUCAACAAUGAACUGAAAUUAUCAAUCCAGACACAGAAUUCGUAUUUAGCCCAAAACAAUAAUGCCUCCUAGUAAGACAACUCUGUUUAAGGCACAUAGCCAAAUCUACAAUGACAACUCAAGAUAUAUUGGUAUUAAGAUAUAGUUAUGUAAAAUAAUUGGUCAUUAAUAGAGUAAUCAUAAUUGACAUUGUGAGAUCAUGCCAAAAUAUUUAGCGGACCUUUUAAUUAAAGGCCUUACAAGAUAUGAGACUUCUAGUAUCAACUUAUCACCAGUGACUGUGCCUCAGCCCAACGCUUAGAAACAUCAAGAUCUUGGAUUAUUGAGUAUAAGCGUAUCAAAUAUUUGUGACUGCAAGCAUUAUAGUUAUUUAUGUGCUUCAAAGAAAAAUAUAAAAAUAGUUAAAUCAUAACAAUAUACUAUCAUAUGAAGAUAUAUGACACAAAUUUCUUACAAGCUCAUACAAGUCGAGAUCACAAGAAGGUUUUAUUUUCUCAUUAAAUUGAUCAUAGAGGUUCCUUUUAUUUUGAAAAUGGUUGCAGAUGUAUUUUUUAAAAGAUUAAAAAAAAAAUAGUGACAUAGAUACCAUUUAAUGAACCAAAAUGAUUUGUAUGGAAAAAUAGAUACGCAGAGGAACUCCUUAUACUGUGAAACCAAUGAAUUGAUUAUAUUUGAUUGAUAUACAUAGAAAAUUCAUUCCACAACUUUAAUUGCCUUAAAUUGGGUCCAUACAUUUCUCUGAUUUCACUUUUCACAUCAUAAUUAAAGCCAAUUUUUUUCUAACGUAUAGGUUCCUAAAACACUUAUACUUCUUAAGUUUGUUAUGAUCGAUGUCGUCCUAAAACAGAAUCAUGGAGGACAGAAGAAGAAGGAAUUAUUGAUUGCUGCUUAUGGGAUGGCGUUCAGUGCAAUGAGAACACUGGUCAUGUCAUCAAGCUUGACCUCUCAAAUACUGCCUCCAUGGUCCUAUCAACUCUAGCAGUAACCUUUUCAACCUUUUUUUUUGGGGGAAGAAAUUAAAGACUAGUAACAGAGCUGCACAUGUCAAUGCGAAGUUUUACAACAACAAAACGUGGAAUGUUAAAAGCCUUGGCAUCACGAAGACCUCUUAAUUAAAGGCCUUGCAAGAGAUGGGGCUUCCAGCAUCAACUUAUCACCACUGAUUGAGCCUCGGCCCAACACUUGGAAACAUCGAGAUCAGGUGGUGCGUGAUGAGUGUGCAGGUGGUGGGAAGCUCAUGCAAGUGAUCGGUGUGUGAUGUGGCUUGUAGCAUCAUAUGUGAUUUUUAUCAUUUUGCUGCUUAUAAUUAUUGCAAGUGCAGAUGUUUUAUAUUUUUUAAAAUGUAGAUUUGUGAAUUCUAAAUUUUAUAAUAUUGUAAAUUAUUGAAAAAUUAUUUUACAAUACUAUAAAAAAAUUUUUUUACAUCAUUACAAAAUUUCGAAUCUAAAUUUUAAAAAAUGUGGACAUCAUUCUCCACUAAAGAAGGACUAGUUGAUACUUAACAAGCCAAUGUCUUGCUCAUGCUUCCGUUCCAAUGGUACCAAGCGGUGUGAGCACCAUGUGCAGAUCAAAUUUGCCCAUCACAAGUGAUUGCUUUGAUUUGGCUGAUUUUGGUGGAUAGCAGCAUAUAUAUCACAACACAUUGCUAUCUAUUCAUUGAAUAUUUUGCGCAAUAGUAAGCCAGGGAGAAUUCUGAAAUGCGAGUAAAUUUUAGUUUUGGCAGAAAUCAUUUGGGAAGCAAUCACUCUAAGAGCAAUGCAAAGAGCUAGCUUACAAGCAGCCAGAACUCUGGUAGCAUUUUUAUUUUGCAACUAAUUUUAAUUUUUCUUAAUUUCAACUUAUUCCUUACAUUUUUAUAUUCUAUGCUGAACAAAAACAAGAUAUUAAUUUGUUGAUCUCAUGAGUACAUGAAAAUAUAUUUGCAUGGACCAAUACCUUAUACUGUAUACUUUUUCAAAAAAAAAAGUUGAUAUAUGAAUUAAAAUUUAAUAAUUAAACAAAAUUAUUGCUAAUGGAAUCAGACUAGAUUCUCAAUCUUUAAUCAAUCAAGAUGAAUGCAGCAAAGAACAUACCAACCCAAAACCGAGAAUUAAGAAUUAAGAAAGAAAUAAAACUCGGCACUCAAAGAUUAAUGUGGUUGAAUACCAAGGUACCUACAUCUACGACUGAAAAACGGGAGGACUAAAGCUUUAUUGAACCAGGUCAAAAUUGCAAUGCACUCUCAAGAGAACAAGAAAACAAAUUGUUCACGUAUUUCUCUCACAAGGUCACUCAAAUAGCUGCAAAAUCAGCCGGUUAUAAUAACCACUUUAACCACCAGCGGGUGCCACUCCAGCUGCCACCUCAUAACUCAACCAAAUAUAACUAACUGACUUCCACAAUUAUUAUCUUAAAAAACAUGAAGAAAAGGCAUAAAAUAAUUUUUUAAUAAAAAUUAUUUAAUUGUUUUAUCUAAUUGAGAUUAUUUAAAUAAUUUUUCUUUUUUCUUUUUUGGUUAACUUUAGGCCUAAUUUUUCAAAACAUUAUUGCAAUUUAACUUAUUGCAGUGUGCAAUAUUGUCCAUGAUUUGACGACUUCUUAGCUAAAUAAUUUUCAAACAUGACUUGACUUAAAGACUUCUCAAGCCUCUUGAGUCUCUCCUCCCUAGCUUUUAAGAUUAGUAAUUUUCAUGAAGACGCGUAUAUAUUCUCUGAAUUUUAUUUUAUUUUUCAAGCAAAACAACAAUGGGUAGGUAGGUCAUUUAUUUGACAUUGGUUUUAUGAAGAGGGAGACUGUUUUAGGCUUUAACAUAAGCUUAAUUCACAAUUGGUAAUUUUAUGAAAUUAGAAAAUAAAUUAUAUUUUUUUGUAAUAAUCUAAUACUCUCAAGUCUCAUCACUCAUGUGAGUGAGAUCAAAUCUUUAAUUUGGAUCGCUCCACAAAAGUUUACCAGUUAAGUAGUAGCACUCACUCCCAAUUACAAAUAUUCAAUAAAUGUUUUGAUUGUAUUAAUGAAACUUAUGGUUUCUUAUUAUAUAUAUAUAUAUUGACUUGAUCAUCUCACCAAUAUUGACUUGAUAAAAAAUGGAGAAAGAUGACAAAUGUGAUCUCACGUAAAAUUGCCAGAAACGAUGAUAAUUAAAACACAUCAAACUCAAUUAAUAGUUAAUCAAAACUUCAGUUUUGUUUGAUAUUGAGAUAUUAUAACUUUUACUCUUUAUUAAAAAAGAAAUCUAGUUAUAAUAUAACAUUUGAUUAUGUUUGGUAGAUGUGAUUUAUAAUAAGAUUUUUCACAAAACUAAUAGAGGUAUUAAUAUAAGUUUUUCUUCAAAUAACUAUGGGAUCAAUUCAAUUUGAUUUAAAAGCCACAGCUACAAGUGUGUAUCAAAUGCUUUGCUGCAGUAACAUUUAUGCCACUCAAUUGCCCCAAAGUAGUACCAAACAGGCCCUUCGUUUUGGUACUGCCUAUUGUGGUGCUUUAAAUCACAAUUACCACGGUAUGAGCGUUUUAACCAUGAAAUAAUAGUUCAGAGUGUUUGGUAAAUAUAACAUAAAUAAAAUUUUUAUAAAAACUAGCAAAUAAUAUAGUUUUUCUUUAUACGACCAUGAGAUAAAUUUAUUCAAUUAUCUUUUAAAUUAUAAUUACAAGUAUUUAUCAAAUGCUUUAGAAAUAUACUCUGAAAAUAACAAUAUCCAUCACAAGAAAAUAAAAUACAUAUGAUGGUUCAAAAUUGUCAAAUAAAGGUAUAUUUGACAAUAAAAAAGCAUGAGGCAUUUCGGUGUCAAAUAUCCUCAUUUAACAUUUAUUAAAACAACCAAUUUACUUUUGUCAUUUAAAAUCAAUCAAAGGUUAAUGACAAUAGAAAAUUGUCAAAUAUGUAUGAAAGUUAAUAAAUAUGAGUUGCUCAAACUUGUCAAUUACAUAUGACUACUAAAAUGAUCAAAUUUCAAGGCUACAAAAAUGGUGCCUGUGACUUGGCUUGUACACAGGAUAUAUCACAUAAACGGAACGAAUCUCAAAUUUUUCAACUUGAUACAACACAAUAUACGAGCAAACAAAACUGAAAUUUUUGACAUGAAGUUAUACAUGUAUCAACUCUAAAUGUUUGAAACUAUUCGUAAUCUAAAUUCAGUCUAAAACUUAAAAUUAAAUCAGUAGCCAUCAAUCAUUUUCGACACCGAAAAGUAAAGUCAGCACCAGCAUUCCUGUAGUACAAGUUAGCCUGUAGCUGUUUGCUGUGAGUGCUCUUUGAUUCUAGCUGAUGAAGCUUCAGUGAUCCACUGCACUCUUUAUUAGCCAUUCUUAAGCAGUCACCUCAAAACAAUCAAAAUAAUUAUCAGAUUUCAAAUUAAGGUAGGUAAGCGUGAUGAAAAAGGCUGGAAAAAUGAAGUCCUCAUAGAUAUUGUCCAGCAAAUUAUGUCCAAAAAGUUCUCUUUCAAUGGUUAAGGAAUUUGUCUCGUAUUCACAUUAAAAGAUAUAUAGCUAAGGUAUUUGUCUCAUAUUCACAUUAAAAUACAUAGCUAGGUAGCAACAUGUGGACAAUUCAUAUUCAUGGGUGUCAAGUCUUUUAAAGAUCCAGGAAGCUCAUAUUAUGAGUCAUAAAACUGCAAAAAGAUAUUAUAGCACCAACACAAAACUAGAUAUGCAAGAGAAUUUUUUAGAAUUCAUUAAUUCUCAUUAAUAUUUUUCAGAUAGAUUAAUUCAACAAUAUGCAGUUGACAAAAAUAUAUAACCAUAAUUCAUUCAGUGACACAUUUGCACAAUUUAAAAUUUACUGCAGAACAGAGGCAAAUUGAAUUAAAAGAAUAUUUAAAAAGGUCACAUGGAAUGAGAAUGAAAGCCAAAAUUAUAACGGUUUACUGUCAAGUUCCCCCAUCCUCUUAAGACCAGUAUGAGCACGAUCUGAUGUUUCUUUCAAGGCCUAUGAAAUUGGUAGAUAAACUAGUACACAUAGGUUAAGAACUGCAGAGAAGAACUAAAAGAAGCAAAGGUAAGCCUUUAACAGGAGUACAAAAAUCAUAUAAAAAUUAUGAAAAAUUGGACUUCAUCAUUCUACAUUGAAAGAGAUUACGUAAAUAGUUUGCAUAUCCUUCUCACUUAAUCACAAUUUAAAAUUUGUUUUCCAAUUUUCUCAUUCACUCAUGAGUUUCUGAGUCACCUACAGAUUUUUGGCAUCAACAACAGAUAAUUAUCUGAUAGCACAGAAAAUAGAUACUGCAUGCCAAUCCAUUCAAAAUCCUUUCUUCAGUUCUAACACUUUGAAAGCACAGUUCAGGUAAGCAAAAUAAGUCCUGAAAAACAGAAAAGAGGCGAAGACCAAAGUACAAAUUCUCACAAUUCAUGAUCUUGUAAACCAUCUAAAUGGAAAUCAUCCCAUUAACUACCGCAGUAGGUUUCUAGACUAAUGGAAGAAGAAAUGCUUACAUUAAUCAAUUCUUUACGACCAUCUUGUAGCUCACCGUAACUUUUAUGUUUUUUAUGAUUAAAGUGUGGUUCAAUGCUUCUACAUCUUCAAUCUCUCCUGGUUCAAUCCUUCUACAUCUUCAAUCUCUCCUUCCUUUCCUCUCAAAUCUUUAAGCACUUUUUCCAUCUUUUGCCGGACCUCUGUAUCACCACCAUUGCACAUGUGCUUCAUCACAUUUAACGUCCCUCUCAAUCGCUCAAUUUCCUUGUUUUGCAUCCAGCUGAAGUAUUUUGUUAUGAAGCUUCUCCUUCUGCAUCUGUAUGAGAUUAAAAGUAGGAACGGUGGUCAUCUAUUGCCUCUGGUUUCGAAGGAAUUGAUAUGGAUGCAUUGUGGUUAUGACCAAAGCAUUAAAAAAAACAAACUUUGUCAUUAGCCUUCUGUUGUUCCAGCGCAGCCAAUUGAAGUGAACUGUUUCUCCUUGCAUUCUAAAAGAGGAGUAAAGUUUAUUUUGCAACCACACCUUUGAUCAGAGUCAACAAUGUGAGAGUGACAUAAGUAAGCUCAUAAGAAACCGUUACCAAAUUCCUUCUCACCGGAGAAACGGAGUGACAGGGAUCGACGAGAAAGUCAACCGAGGCCCUUAGCUGCUCCACCAAGCCUCACUGUAAAUUAAAUCAAGAAAACCUUACAAAGUUACAAAAACAGCAACAACGACGAUGAUCAGGAUAAUGAUAACGGUAAAAUAGAAAGACAAAAUUGACCUUGUAUGAGGAAUCUAUGGCGAAGAGCACGAUCAGAGGCAUCGCCAGCUUUAUUAGUGCUCAAUUUCCCCAAAUUAUCAAAGAAAUAGCGCUUGAAAAAUGUACUUUGUGGAAACAUGUCGUAAUGCGAAGCAUCUACAACAAAAAUUAGAAUUAACAACUGAAAAUAAAGGUAUAAAGAGAAAUUAAAUAAAUCAAGAAACUCCAGCUUCUCGGAGAUCCUCUCUGAGUCUGAGAGCGUCCGAGUCAGAAGAUGGAGGCUCGGCAUUUUAAUACUGGCAGUGGAGAAUCUCCAUUCUCAAUGCUUGUAUAAAGAGAAAUUAAACCAUCAAAUAUGUUUCAUGCUUGCGCACACCGUCAUUUAUUUUAGAGGCGUGCAUAACAUCUAAUAAAGUGAUAAAUAAAAAUGUCAAAUAUACCUAUAUUUGUUGUAGUGAUCAAACGGAUAAGCCUAAAUCGCUUGACUGAUCAACAUCAGUGACGAAGGGUAUUAAGCAAGCAAAAUAUUCAACAUGACGUACUUAAUGAAUUAUUAUUAAGCAAGUAAAUAAACUUAGAGAUUUAACUUUUUAAUAAUGAAUUUUCUAAUUUAAGUACUCUUUUAAUUAAUUAACAAUUAAGAAGUUUAAAAUUAUAAUUUUAAGUUUUUAAAUUAUUAUUGAUUUAUAUAAAUUAAGAAUUUAAGUUUUUUAUUUUUUAUUAUUUUUCAAAUUUUAAUUUUUUAUUAUUAUUUAUAAAUUUAUUUUUUAAAAAUAUAGAGGGCGGCGCCUAAGCCCCGCCCGGGUCCGGGCUUUGUUCCCACAGGAGCAGUGUAUCAACAUUCUGGUUUUGGUCACGUUGAACAAAAAUACAAAAAGAAAAGAAAGCACUGCUCUUGGUCAACGAUGUCCACUCCCUAGCUUUAUACCCAAUUCAUAAGCUUUUACCAAACGCCUGAUGGUCUUGUUGUGAUGAUUGAAGAAGGAGAGCAGCAGCAGGAUUUGGAAUGGAGAACUUUUUGAAUGAGAAUCUUGGAACUGUGAAGCCGAAGAACUCAUCAGAAGAAGCGUUACAGAGAUGGAGGAGACUCUCUGGAAUUGUGAAAAAUCCGAGAUGGAGGUUUCGUACGAUUGCUGAGUUCGCCAAGAGAUCGGAAGACGAGAAAAGAAAGCGCACAAUUCAGGUAAUUCAGUUUCAUUGAGGCUACUGGGGACGUUUUAAAACCAGCACUUGCUGUUUCAUAUUUAUAGUUACUUGAUGAACUAUAGAGAGUUUCGGUACCUUAAAUAUUUAAAUGCAGAGUGAACUGGAAUGAUUGUGAUAUUGAAUUUAGUAUAUCAAACUCAAGGCUGCUCCGUUGUGUUUCUUACAGGAGAAAAUAAGGGUUGCACUUUAUGUUCAAAAAGCUGCACGUCAAUAUAUUGGAAAAUCUGAUCUAGAAGAAGAGUCAUUGAGAGAGCACCUUCUGACCGAGGCUGCCGAAGCUGGAAGAAAUCAAGAAUCCGUUGAUGAUGUUGGAUCCACAGACAAUAGGAAAAGUGUAAAGAUACUGAAACUUUUCUUCCUUGCUAGUUAACUUUGAAAACAUUCUCUUUUGAUAUUUGAAAAAUGGUCGAAUAUCCAUUUUCCAGUUUGGAUUUGGAUACAUCGAGGUAAGAAUAUCAAAGUUUUGCAUACAAUUGGGCUCCAAUUUCUGAGUUUAAAACAUUUCAUUAACUGAAUGACAAAACAUUUCAUUAAACAAGCUUCAUAGUAGUUGCUUUAGAUGUAUAAUUGCAGUCUUUGUAUUACAGGUUUCUAAGCUACUUGAUAAAUACAAGAAAUGUGCACUCGCAUUGUUUUAUGUUCUGUUGGAAGCAGCAUCAUUGUCACUGGAUAUAGCUGGGAAAAUGAAGUGGAGAAUUCUUCUUGCUGCAUUUGUUUUGUCAGCAUUUAGUUUUGCUAUUAGUAUGCAUACUUGUAUCAUGAGAAGAACCAGAGCUGCAACCAGAGUACAUUGGCAGACACAACUAGUUCGGAUGGUGGAAAUUUCUUUCUCUGUUGUCCAGUUGGUUGUUACGCUUGCUAAUUUUAUUCUGGCGGAAUUGGGUGUCAAGAACAAAUUUGAUGCAUCCGUUUUGCCACUAGUCUUCUCUAUAAUUGUUGCUGCAUUUAACAUCAUAUAUGUUAGGGACGUUUCUGAUUCAUCAGACCUUGCCAGCUCUCUUAUGGCCUCAGCUGCUGAUAUUGAACUGCAGGAUUUACAGGUAUGAUUGUGAACAUAAGUGUAAAUAUCAAGCAGCACUUGGUGAAUUCAUGUAAGAAACUUAUCAUCUCUAUGAGCUCUUAUAAAUUUAAAGUUGUGUUAGAGUAUUUUAUGGCAUGGCAAUAAUGCUUGAUUCUAGGGAUUCCAUGAUAUUGGAGAUGAAAUAUGCUGAUCAUUGAUUAAUUUUAGCCAUUUACUUGAUGAUCUUUAGCACUUAUAUGUAAUCAAGGCAUUCCUUUUAUGCAUGGGCUUAUCACCAACUACAUAUAAAAGCCUUCUUCUGUAUUUCUUUUAUAUAUUGAAAUGCAACUUCGUGUCAGUUGUCUCUCUUUCCCCUUUUUUUCUUUUUUAGUUUGCUUUCGUUGUCUUAUUAAGUCUACAAGCUGCAUGAGAUGGUAAGCUUUUGAAUAUUAUGGAAGAAGGAAGUAUAAAAAUUGUGGGAUUGCAGUAACUUGAAUGCAUUGCGUAAGUCAAUAAUUCAGUUGUUAAAGGUCUCUAAAAGAUUGAUUUUGUAAUUUGUAUUUUCAGUGCUGGAGUGCCUCUGUUAGAUUUAGAAAUCCUUUCUGUAAUUAAUGAUUGUUUUAGUAGUACUAUGUCUAGAUCAGAGCAAAUAUCAAAUAUUUGAUUGUUUGUAUUUUUAGGACCAUAAUCCAAAUACUGUUUAUGAGGACGUGGAAGCAAACGGCAGCUUGUCUACGGCCUCAGUUGCAGACCAUCAAUUGCAGAAUAUCCAGGUAUGAUUGUGAACAUAAAUGUAAUCAUCGACCUGCACUUUGGUGGAUUCACAUAACCAGUCUUUUGUACAUUCUUUUAUAUAUUGAAAUACAACUUCGCAUCAAUUGUCUCUCUUUUACUUUUUAGUUUGCUUUCUUUUUGUCUUAUUACAAGCUGCAUGAGACGGUAAACUUUUGAAGUGUUGUGGAAGAAGGAAAUGUAUAUAAAAAUUGUGAGAUUGCAUUAACUUGAAUGCAUUGUGUAAGUCAGUAGUUCAGUCGUUAGAUGUCUCUAAAAGAUUUAUUUUAUAAUUUAUAUUUAUAAUGCUAGAGUGCCUCUGUUAGAUUUAGAAAUCUUUUAUGUAAUUAACGAUUGUUUUUGUAGUACUAUGGCCACAUCAAAGCUGAUAUCAAAUAUUGGACUGUUUGUAUCAUUUGUAGGUUCAUAACCCAAGUAUUAUUGCUGAGGACGUGGAAGCAAACGGCAGCUUGUCUAUGGCCUCAUGUGCAGACCAUCAAUUGCAGAAUAUCCAGGUAUUAUUGUGAACAUAAAUGAAUCAUCAAGCUGCACUAGGUAAAUUCACAAGCAACUUAGGUCCCGUUUGGGAUUGAGGUUCUAUAACUUAAAAAUUACAGCUGCUGUGAAAAAAAACUGUAACUAUGAAAUAAAAGUUAAUAAUAUGUAAUAAAUAUAAAUUUUAAAUAAUAAUUUUAACAAAAUUAUUAAAAAUAUAAUAGAUUUUUCAUUAUACAAGUGAAAAAUUAUAUCAACAUAACUUCUAAGUUACAAUAGCUAGUGUUUACCAAACACUUUAGUGCUGUGACUUAAAAGCUGCAGCUGCCUAACCUUAAUUCCAAAUGCGCCCAACCUUAAUUCCAAACGCACACUUAUUACCUCUAUGAGUUCCUGCAAAAUUUAAAGAAAGUUGUAUGAGACGGUAAGCUUUUGAAAUAUUGUGGAAAAAAGGAAAACUAAAAGUUGUGAGACUGCAUUAACUUGAAUGGGUUGUGUAAGUCAAUAAUUUAGUCAUUUGAGGUCUCUACAAGAUUGCAUCUAAAUUUUGUAUUUAUAAUGCUAUAGUGCAGUGUAGAUUAAGAAAUCGUUUUUGUGAUUAGCGAUUGUUUGAGUAGUACCAUGGCCAGAUCAGUGCUGAUAUCAAAUAUUUGAUAGUUGCUAUGUUUUUUAGGUUCAUAACCCAAGUACGACUGCUGAGGAUGCAGAAACAGACAGCAGCUUAUCUAUGGCCCCAGCUGGUCUCCCCAUGCGGACGGUAAAACAUUUUUCUUUUGCAGCUGUCCGCCGAAAGUUUGCUAAGUGGAUCAAUACUGAAUAUUUCUCUUAACGCCCUGAGACGAUUGAAAUAUUGUGGAAUGAAAGAAACAUAAAGAUUGUGAGAUUGCAUUGUGUUGGUCAAUUACUUAAUCGUAUGAGGUCUUUAAAAGAUUACUUUUAAUAAUUGGUAUAUUGCUUGAGUGCCUCUGUAGUUUUAAAAAUACUUUGCGUAGUUAACGAUUGUUGUAGCAGUAUGGCCAAAUCAGUACGGAUAUCAAAUCUUUGAUAGUUUGCAUCUUUUUAGGUUCAUAUGCCAAAUAAUACUCGCAAUGAGGAUGCAGAAGCAAACGGCAGCAUGCCUAUACCGGUGAUAGUGACCUCUCAUGACUGAUGAAGAUGAUUCUAAGAAACGAGGUUGGUAUGCUUGCUCUUCACACUGCCUUCAGGCUUGCUCUUUCUCUCAUACUAUUUACACAAAUUCUCUUUUUAAGUUUUAGUACUGAAAAAUUUAUAUAUGUUAAUAGAUGGGUUUGUGAGUAAUGUUUCGAGAGCUUAUUUUAGGAGUCUGACAAUUUGAUUAUUGUUUCAUUCUUAGAGUCUAGACGAGGCAUUUGUCCCCAUUUGCUCAUUUGAUUCAGAUUCAAGCUGACUAUAAUUAAAGCACAUUGGGUCCAAGUUUUGGCCAUAGGUGUUAUAAUUAAUUUCAAUUACUCUGUAGUCCAGUUGGAUAUAUAUCUAUAAUUUGGAUUAUAGCCACUGAAUAUGUAUUAUUUUAGCUGAAUAACUUUUUGUUUAUAGAGCACGUUGAGGGGUUAAAUGAUGGUGAUAAGUUUUUUGUGAUUCCUGAAAUUCUUGAAACUUGUAUUAUGCCAAUAAGAAUAAAUGAAUCUAUUUUGAUUGGGUCACACAAGAAACUUUUGAUGUGCCAAUUAAUUAUUGAUCGGCAUGGUUAAUUGUUUUUGUAACGGUACAGUAUGUGAUAUGAAUUUUCUAAAAAAGUGAUUUUAUUAUUAACAUUAUUAUUAUAAUUAUUUAACAUAAUUGCAACUAUGUAGAGAUUUAUAUAACUUACAUAUUUCUGCAGUUAUCAGUUAUCAAAUUCAUGAUUGUGUUAUUUUUUUGGAAAUUAUCCUUCAAAAUAACUGUAUUCCACAGCAUAUUUCUCGGACUUUUUUAGAGUCAUUCGAUCUUAAUAGUACAUAAAGAUCAUAAGCUAGAUACUUAUAUGUAAUCAAGAUUAUCUUAAGGUAGAUUAUGUAUAUAAUUACUCCGAUUGAGAAUGUAUAAAUGGUCACAUUGGUCUUGCAUGCACUUACUUUGGAGGGCAUUAAAAUUUUAUAUGUAAUCAUAAACCUAAUGAACUCACUUUGGGUUUCAUUGAAUACUGAUCUGUUAAUCGAUAUCUACUUUAUGACUGGAUCAAGCAAUCAAAUCGAUCCAGCCGUUCCAGGAUCAAUAUUUGACUCUAGGCUUAUGGAUCAACAAUGUACUGAAAUUAUCAAAUCAAGACACAGAAUAACUAUCUAGCCCAAACCAAUAAUGCCUCCUAUACUUAUAUCCAUACAAUCGUAAGACAACUCUGUUUCACAUAGCCAAAUCUGCAACGACAACUCAAGAUAUAUUGGUGGUAAGAUAUAGUUAUGUGAAAUAAUUGGUCAUUAAUAGAGUAUUCAUAAUUGACAUUGUGAGAUCAUACCAAAAAAAUUAGCGGACCUCUUAAUUAAAAGCCUUGCAAGAGAUGGGACUUCCAGCAUCAACUUAUCACCAGUGAUUGAGCCUUAGCCCAACAUUAGAAACAUUGGCAUCUUGGAUUUAAUGAGUAGAAACGUAUCAUAUAGUUGUGACUGCAAGAAUUAUAAUUAUUUAUGCGCUUCAAAUAAAAAAUAUAAAAAUAAUUAAAUUAUAACAAUAUAUUAUCACUUGAAGAUAUGUAACACAAAUUUCUUAAAAGCUCAAACGAGUCGAGAUCAUAAGAACAUUUUAUUUUCUCAUUAAAUUGAUAAUAUAAGUUCAUUUAAUUUUGAAAAUGGUUGCAUAGAUACUUUUUAAAAGAUUAAAAAAAAGAAAUAGUUACGUAGACACCAUUUAAUGAACCAAAAUGGCUUGUAUGGCAAAAUAGAUACGCAGAGGAACUUCUUAUACUGCGGAACCAAAAUUUAAGCAAUUUGCAUGAAUCAAUUAUAUAUGAUUGAUAUACAUAGAAAAUUCGUUCCACAAUUUUAAUUGCCUUAAAGUGGGUCCAUGCAUUUCUCUGAUUUCACUUUUCACAUCAUAAUUAAAGCCAAAUAGCCACUUCGGCCUUGGUCGGAGUGGUGGGCUGCUGCCCUCACAAGCAUUGUGAGGGCAGCGGUUCAAGCCCCCACAAAAGCAUUUGUGGGGGCUAACGUGCUUAUUUGUUUAACAUUUCAAAAAUUUCCUCUCCCUCGUGCAAUACGAGUGGAGUAUGGACAUCCCUCUUCUGUAAGGGAUUAUUUGUCUGGGCAUGUACUUCACAGAAUUCAAUGUAAUAAUAUAAGUCCCAAUCAUGUAUUUCUGAUUGUAAAUAUCAGUGUAAUAUAUCUGCUAUAAUAGCAGUUGUAAAUAUCUGUGUAAUGCAGUAAUAUGAUGAUUAAUCAGUAUUCAAAAAAUUAAAGCCAAAUAAAAUUUUCUAAUUUAUAGGUUCCUAAAACACUUAUAAUUCUUAUGGUUGUUAUGAUUCAUGUCGUCCUAAAACAGAAUCAAGGAGGGCAGAAGAAAAAGGAAAUAUUUAUUGCUGCUUAUGGGACGGCGUUCAGUGCAAUGAGAACACGGCCAUGUCAUCAAGCUUGAUCUCUCAAAUAGCUACCUCCAGGGUCCUAUCAACUCUAGUAGUAGCCUUUUCAACCUUAUUGUUUAGGGAAGAAAUGGAAGAUUAGUAAUAGAGCGCCACUCGUUGAUGCGAAUUUUUACAAGAAUAAAAAGUUGCCAGGAGGAUAUUGGCCCCUUUUGGGUACACCAGGUAAUCAAAAUGGUACAUGAGUCUCACCAUGUUAAAGGCAAAAAGGUUAGCGAAAAUGUAUAAAAUGUAAGCCACAUGAGGUUCCCAAAAAGAAUAAUUGAUUUUUUAGGAUGAGGAAUCAAUUGAGCAAUGUUGUAUUGAAAAAAAAAAGGAAAUAGCGAGCUGCCACGCUUGUAGAAAGGUAAAAAAGUAGCUCAGCAGGAUAGUUGAGACCAUUUGUCCUCAACAGCCACACCUACAACUGCUGAGCAGCCUCUGCAAAGUCAUACUAGACCACCCAGCAAAGUCCAAACAUUUAUGUAUGGACAAUUUAUAAAAUGAUGAAAAAUGCUUGCUCUCCAAGUAUGCUCCAAAGAGCCCAACAGAUACAUGAGCAAGAGGGCAAAAAAAAUCCCUGCAAAAGCAACAAAGAACGCCAAUAAAAAUGUGGUAGGUGGCAUGGCAGCCAAGCACCCUUGGCCAAUCCACAAAAAGACGCUCACGUUCUAGUUCUCUCAUUCAACAAAAAUACACAUCAUCAUAAGAAAAGUAACCUAUCAUGACAGGUAAAAACUUGUCAUUUUAAGGGGUAAAUGACGCUUAUCUUUACUAUCAUUGUAGCCAGCGUCAAGAAAAGAUGACAGAUAAAACAACGUCACGAGUUAUGAUAAAUUUUACUUGUCAUAAUUAUGUCAUACUACUUAGAAGAGGGAAAUUAUUUUUUUAUUUUUUAUUUUCAUUUUUUUAGAAAUUUUUAGAUUGUAUUUUUUUUUGGAUAUCAAUUGUGUGUUUUUGAAAAAAAUUAAUUAAUUAUUUUAUUUAUUAAUUUAAAAUAAAGAUUAUGCAAUUUUAGCUUCCUCAAUUUAAAAUUUAAAUUAUAAAAAUUUUAUGAAAGAAAAUAAAUUACUAAAUGCAAUUAAAUCCAAAACCAAUGAACUAAAUUAGUGAACUUUAUUAUCCAUAAAAAUAUCCAAAGUACUUCUAAAUUCUGAAAACAUGCAAUUCAAACUUUACAUUACAUUAGUUAAUCAAUAUUCCAAAGCCAAGCCAAUAGGCAACAAAGGCCAAUCCAAAACCAAGCAAAGUACUCGGCAUUCAGCAACAUCCAGCAUCAAACCUAUGCAAAAUGUAGUCUUGCAGCAGCAAAAUUACAAAAUGUAGUCUUCCAGCAGCAAAAUCCAGCAGCCCCAAAGCCAAGACAUGAAAAUUCAUCAAUUUGGCUAUUCAAUCCACGAACUAAUUAAUUAAUUAAUCAAUUAAGUAAGAUGACUUAUGUAAUUACACUAAAAUGGAAGUGGCACACCAGAUUAGCAGCAAUGACAGGUGAGGCAGCAGUUAAAGCCCAAACAGCAAGAAAGCCACAAGCCACACCUUUAAGUUCUUUGAAUCUUUUGUAGCCGCUACUAAUAAUAAUAAUAACCAUCAUAUUAGUCCCAAUAUAAGUAUAUAACUAAACAUAUGGUUCAAGAGUUCCACGCCUGUGCUAUGAGUGUGUUUAAGCUCCCUAUAGGGCUGUGCGAUGACAUUCAGAUGGCAAUGGCGAAGUUUUAGUGGAGAUAAAAAAAAAUGCCACUGAUCUGUCUACAGGGGGUCAAUAAUCGAGGAAAGAAUGUGUGCACCAUCUUAGUUAUUUCUUAGAUUUUGUACCGAAAGCAGUAGUACAUGGUAAAUAUCACCUGGAAGUUAGGAAUCAUUUGUGUUUUCGGUGAAAGAAUUGCCUCAUCGCCUGGUAGAUUCAACAACAAAAAUAUGCCUUAGCUCUAUACUGACAACGCCGCAUAUACCUUAUCUCAAAGCUCUUGUUAAAAGUAGUAGCAACUGGCUUGGCCGCACCUGCAAUUGAUGAUCUGCAACUGCCUUGCUGUGGGGUAUUGAAGAAUCAAUUGUCACAGUCAUACCACGAAGAUCAGGUGCUUUUAGGAUGGUUAACAACUUUCAACUAGAUUUUCGAGACUUGGCUUCUUGAGAGUUGAAGAUCUAUAUUUCUUGAUAAUUCAAGGGACACCAAGUUGGAGAGCUCUAAUAUUUCCCACGGUAUUUGACCUGAAAAUGAAGAAUCGGGUUGAUGAUUUUUUGUGGGAUUAAUUCGGAAGAAUUCAGUUAAUUAUUAAAAGAAAAAUUAAACCACUCAAAAUUUACAAGUAUUUUAACUAGAUUUUGGGAUAAAGUAAAAAGGGGAAACAAAAACCUAGCUAAACACAAUAAAUUUGUGUUAAGGUGAAAGGGUGCCUCAAGUAGCCGUGAUGUGUUGCUCGUUUUUGCCUUAGAUGAAACUUCAGAAAGAAUGGAAGAGGCAAGGCUAUGCUGAGAAACUUAGAUCUGGAGAGGGUCGACUUGAAGGGCUACUCUUAAUAUGCAAGAAUGGAAAAGGCCUCUUUGCAGGUGAAUCAUCCCCUUAGGAUUCCCAUUUAUGAGUACAAAGAAUGAUGAUGUGGUGAUACAAUUCAUUACUAAAUCUACCCAUUUGUUUGGAAAUCCCAGUUUUGUCAUUGUUUGUUUCAAAAAUUCCCAUUCCACCCUAUCAUAUGCUUUGCUAAUAUCUAGCUUUAAAACCACUAACCCAUUUCGUUUCCCUUUAUUGUGCCUAAUUUUAUGGAGGCACUCGUACCCAAUAAUAAUAUUGUCGGUGAUGAGUCUAUUUGGGAUAAAAGCACUCUGAGACGACAAAAUAAUUUGUGCAAGUAUGGGCUUCAUUCUAUUUGCUAUAGCCUUAGUGAUAAUUCUAUAAAUUACAUUGCAAAGGCUAAUAGGUCUAAACUCAAUGACUUUUCUAGGCUUAUGAACUUUCAGGAUUAAAGCUAUAUAAGUGUGGUUUAAUGAAGUUAAGUUACCUCGUUCAUUCAAAAAGUGCAGACAAGUUGAAACAACUCCACACUCCACUGCUUGCCAAUGCUUCUGAAAGAAGACAACAGGAAGCCCAUCCGGACCCGGUGCCUUUGUGGGGCACAUUUGGUUUAAAGCCUCUGAGAUCUCCUCAGCUGUAAACGGCUGAUUCGGCUGAUCCUUCAUGUCUUCAGUUAUCUUUGGUAGCAGCGCAGCUUGGUUUGGCCCUUGACGAGGUGAAAAUCUCUUGAAAGUACUCACAAAAUUCUGCUUCCACAUCAGCUUCCUCUUUUGUCCAGUGUCCUUGUUUAUCCUCGAUCCCCCAAAUUUUGUUCUUUCGCUUCCUUGCUGAAGCCUUUAAAUGGAAGAACUUAGUGUUUUUGUCUCCCUUUUUUAGCCAGUCAGCCCUUAAUCUUUGCUUCCAGUAUAUUUCUUUAUCAAUCAACAAAUUAUUGAUUCUCCUCUCAAGCUUUUUAAGUUCAUAUCCGCUGACGUAAUGUUCAAAAUUCUGUUGCAAUCUUUUUAGCUGCUCCGUCAUCUGAUUUAACUCUUUUUCUCUUCCCCCGAACUCCUGCGUGCUCCACCAUUUAAGCUUAGCCAUAGAGCUUUUGGCAGAUGUUUGAAAUUGAAGCACUGGAUUCCCAUAUUUCCAAUUCCCUUGACUACUCCAUUCCUCCUGAGCAAUGCUUUUGCACUUAUCAUAGGCACUCCACAUAUCUUCAUAAUGAAUCCUAUGAGGUGCCUUCCUCUCAUAACGAACACUUUUACCUCUUUCUCGAACUUCCAUCAACACUGGGUAGUGAUCAGAGCUCACGGUUAAAAGGUUUGUUGCUGCAUUAUCAUAAAAGCUGGUAACCCAAUCCCUACUACAUAGAAACCUGUCCAAUCUCUCCUCAACAAGAUAAGGGCCAAAUCUCCGGUUAGACCAAGUAAAAAGGUAGCAUGUCCAACCUAAAUCCACCAACUUACAGGCUUGAGCAGCCUCUUUAAAACUAGCCAUCAUACUCAAAUUUCAAUCCUUCCCACCACACUUCUCAUUUGGACUCAAAAUUUCAUUAAAAUCACCAAAGCAUAACCACGGGAGAUUAGACAAAUCUGACAGCCUUCGAAGCAGCGUCCAAGUGUGUUGUUUUUGCUGCAUUUCUGAAUGUCCGUAUAUCCCCAUGCAUCUCCAUUGCUUUCCAUUCUCCAGCUGGACUACAGUAUAUCCUCAGAUUUUAUUUUUCUGUGAAACUAAGUUGUUGGCUGUGCAAGCUAGAGAGGAGUGGAGAAGGCUAAGUAUUGAGAAUUGUUUUGCUGUAAAUAGGAGGGGCUUAAAAGGAGGGCUAGCGUUAUGUUGGAAUUCAGAGGUCCUGGUAACAAAUCAGUGGCAUUUAAAUUGCUAGGUUUCCUUCCCUUCAUGCGGGCUAGGUUUUUUCUGUUAUGAUUUCUUUUUCCAUUUUUUCUUCUCUUGGGUUGAGUGGGUGGGAAUGGUAAAUAUCAGUUGAUGUUAAAACCUUUUUUUUUUUUUUGGGGGGGUUGUUAAAAGUACAAAUCGAUUAGCACUUUUGAAGUUUAUAUGUUUCUAAGAAUCUGCUCAUUAUGAAGCAAAUGGAGUAUAAAUGUGCUCCUAGUAACAAUGGCUUCAGUCCAUCUAGCUUCUCUGCUGUACGGCCAAGGCGGAUGUACGGUACAGCAGAAGUGUACUACUACAAACGGAGGCCACCCAUCUAUUAUAACCGAAUCAAGUGGUGUGUGAUGAGUGUGCAGGUGGUGGGAAGCUUAUGCAAGUAAUCCUUGUGUGAUGUAGCUCGUAGCAUCGUAUGUGAUUUUUAUCAUUUUGCUACUUAUAAUUAUUGCAGGUGCAUGUCUUUAUUUUUUAAAAUGUGGAUUUGUGAAUUUGGAAUUUUACUAUAAUGUAAAUUAUUGAAUUUUUUUUUUACAACACUAUAAAAAAUCUUUUACAAUAUUAUAAAAUUCUGAAUCUAAAUUUUAAAAAAUAUGUGCACCCUCACUAAAGAAGUAUUGUUGCUACUUAACAAGCUAAUCUCUUACUCAUGCUUCCGUUCCAAUAGUACCAAGCGGUGUGAGCACUAUUGUUAGAGUGUAAUUUAUGCACUAGUUUUGCAUUGUUUACUUCCCUUAAUAUUGAUGUUUUGCACUUAAUAAUAGUGAUUUACUUGUGUUUUACUUUUGUAGGUGCAAUUCUAUUGAUUGGUGAUAAAAUUGAGCUACAAGAUGUUGUUUAAGGAUGAUUGUUCUCUUGGAGAAACUAUGAGCGUCAGAAGAACUUUGUUGAUAAGGCGUGGGCGCGUGCUGUCAACUACGGACCUGCAGUUUUUAGUUUAACGUGUUUUGUAUUUUUGGUUAUUUUUGUAAUUACGAAUUUAAUAUUUUAGAUAAGAGUAUUUUAUUUUAAAUAGAAUUCUAGAGGAGAAGAGAGAGAGAGUAUUUAAGGGAGGAAUCUAUUGUGAAAAGGGGACUUAGGAAAAAAGAAAGAAACCAUAGAUCUAAACUUUUCUCUUCUCUCUAUGAAGAACUAAACCUAUUUUUCUGGUUGAAGGUUAAUGAAGCUUUGAUUCAUCACUACUGUGAAAUUUUUCUUGUGCUUUAAUUGUUUUAUUACUUUUUGGGUAUUUGUUUAUUCUCUGAAUUAUUCUCAUUAUUAUGUUUGUUAAUUAGGUAAUUGGCCACUAUUUAAUUAUCAACUUAAUCUAUUGUCAAUUAAAGGAUUCAUCGUAUGAAGAAUUUAAUGUUUGUGACAAAUAACAUAGCAGAGAGUUGUGUUGUGAGAAUAAACAAUCUAAUUUAAAUGAAUCAUCAUAUGUGUUGAUUAGGAUUUGGGUCUCCUGCUGUACGGCCAAGGCGGAUGUACGGUACAGCAGACCCUUUUUCAUUUUGUAUUUUCUUACAAAACAACCCCCAUUUUAUGUUUUACGUUUUAAAAGGAUUUAAAUAAUUACCGAUCUCUGUGGACACGACCCUGCUCAAUCACUAUACACAAUUUAUUUAGAGUAGGUAUUUAUUUUUGUUGGCUUCGACAACUAUCAAACUAUGUGCAGAUCAAAUUUGCCCAUCACAAGUGAGGCUCCGACUACGUUGGAUUAACUCCAACUUAGAGCCAAUUAAUAUCAGCCGUGCGAUUAUAUAUACUCAAUCCAACCGUCACGAUUGCACCUAAUCAAUAGAUAUGAAGCGUAUACAGUUAUUGGGUUAUCUUUUGAGAGGAUAAACAUGACCUAAUAUUUACUCUGUCUCUCGAUAUGCUUUCACCGCGUAACAACAACAGAUCACCAUUCACCACCCAACUGACUCUCUCAUCUUCUUUCUUUAACAAGCUCUUCCUUGUUAUUCUCUUUUUGCUGCCAUUUUUUUUUUUAAUUAUCAAGUUUCAACUUUAGUUAUUCGAAAUUUCAAUUAUUUAUUUUGUAAAAGAUUAUUUUUCUUAUCAAAGUACAUUGUUAGUUUUUUUCCCUUUAUUUUGUCUAAUUUAAAACUAAAAUUUUAAGAUUUUUUUGGACAAUGAAAUAUAAUAUUUCAUUAAACAAAUAACAACAAUACAACUACUUACAAUACAUCACCGGUACACAUUACUAACAUCAAAAUACAGUGAUCCAUUUCAGUUACAAAGAUCCAUUGCAGUGAUCAAUUGGAUUGACCCAUAAAAUUUUAUUGAAGAACAGGAAGAAACAAUUGUACACUGGAAGUAAAAAGAGCCAUUCACAGAGCACAUAUAAUUCGAGCUCUAUUUGGGAUUCCAUGGCUCGUUUGAAAUAAUCUCUUUCACCAUAGUUAUGCUUUCGAAAUCGAUCCACACCCUGUAACUUUACAAAUAUGAGAAAUAUAGACUCUAGAUCUAAAAGUUGAAGGGUUAUGUACUGGAAAACAGAACAAACCAACAUUACCACCAUCAUAUGUACAUUUUUACCAUCACAGAUCAAGAUCUGAAUGGACACACAACAGCCAUUCUCAAACUCAAAGGAGGAAGAAGCUGAAAUAGAACAACCAUCCUCAAACCUAAAGGUAGAGGAGGCCAAAACAAGACAGCCAUCCUCAACCUUUAAGGAGGAGGAGGUUGCAACCAAAAAAAAAAAAAAAGGAGAUACCACUGGAGGAGGAGAGAAAGAUUUCCCUUUCUAGGGAUUUGGUGAGGAAGAGAUGUAGAGCUUUAAGAGGAAAAUAUUUUGGAAAGAUCUAGAGAUUGGUUUUAAAGAUGUGUUUUUAAAAUUUUAAAUAUUUAAAAUUUGAGAUUUCGUGUUUAUGUUUUAAAGAAAAAGCUGUUGAGAGGAUAAAUAUACCCAAUAAUCCUAUACGCUUCAUGUAUAUUGAUUAAGUGUAAUCGUGAUGGUUGGACGGC
rnacentral:lncRNA from 1 species